rnacentral:lncRNA from 1 species
UUUUUUUUUUUUUUUUUCUGAGAGAAAGAUACGUAGUAUGCUACCCGUUUUGUUUAAGAGCACUACAACAGAAUUAGAUUAUAGGGACAAAUGUUUGGGACACUUUUGUCUAAGUGUCCCAUUUAUGUCAAAGUUUUAAAAAAUAUCUACUAAUGCCUAAAUAUAAAGCCGAAUCCAACAAAAAAUAAAAUGUUACUAUAUUCAACUCAUCCAACUCAGCCCAUUUGGCCCGAUUCCAAAUAGAAAAGAAAAAAAAAAAAAAGAAAAAUCGAUUACCAUCUCCCCUUCUCCCCUCACUCAAUCCACUGAAAUCCUAGAUGAAGAGCCAUUCCCUUUCGUUCUCCUCCACCACCGCAGCCAACGAGGUAGAGUUCUAGCGGUUGCUAGAUACUUAAAUAAGUGUUGCUAAAUUAGCAGCACUAUUUUAAGUUAUAGCGACACUCUUUAACUGUCACUAUAUAUUUAGCGACCCCACAUAUAGCAACACUUUUUAAAAGUAUCAGUAAUUUAGCCAUCAACACUUUUUUUGACCUAUACCGACAUUUAAAAGUGUCGCUAUAGACCGUUUGUGUUGUAGUGGAGCUAGAAAUGUGAAUCAACUAGAAUUCGAACUUGGGUCUCGGGUACCAACCACCAAGCUAAAUAAUUGGAAUCAUACAUACCAUUGAGACCAUGUCCAUAAGUGCUUUUGCUAGAAGCUCCCACAUGUAGCAAUCCGUCUGGGGUGAGGGAUGGGAGCUUCUCCUCCCCAUGAAUGUCAACACCAUGUGGCCACCCUCCACCACCUCUGCCCCCCGGCACUGGAGGAACAAGGAGAAGUCCCUCUUGAAUUGCUUCUUGUAUGCUUCAAACACACAUGGUGGGCUAGUGCUUGAUAUGUAGAUUUUUCCCUUGUUGUUGAGGGGAACUUCACUUCCAUCAUCUAGUAACAUUUGAGGAACCUGAAAAAGAGAUGAUAAGCUCUAUAUCAAAUAGGGCUGACAAGCCAGCUCGUUGUUCAUGAUAAGCCGGUUUGAAACAUGUUAGAGAUCGAUCACUCCUUUAGUUAACGAGUCGAACACGAGCUGAAUUCUUCAGCUCGAAAUUUCAACGAGCUGAACAUAAGUUGGGGUCUGCUAACUCGUGUUAAUUAGGCUCGAUAUAGCUCGAAUAUAAAUAUAAAUAGGGUUAAUUUCAAACAGAUUCCUACAAAUAUAAUGAAUGAUAAAUAUAUUUCUAUAAAGUUCAACUUUCAUAUGUUGUCCCUACAAAAGUUUUAAUAUUUUUAAAUAUGUUUCUCUGGUUUGUUACCGUUAGAGAGCGUUAGAGAACCGUUUAUAUUUUUAAUUUUGCCAUUACAAAUAUACCCCUUCAAAAAUCAUAACAAUAUAAUAUAAGAAGGGUACAGAGUUAAGUAUUUAACCUAUGAUUAACUAAAUUUUUCUAACGAAUUAUAACGGUAGAGACAUAUUUGAAAAUAUCAGCUCUUUUGCAAAGUUAACGUAUAAAAAUUAAACUUUGUAGAAAUAUAUUUGCUAUUUACUAUAUUUGUAGGGGACUGUAUAAAAUUAAUCUAUAUAAAUAUUAUAAGUUUUUAUUAUUUAGUUUUUAGACCAACCAAGAUACAAAGAGACCUAUAUUUCAUGAAUUAUGAUUAUUAGAUGUCUGAACACGUGAUAUUUAUUAUGAUUAAUUGAUUAACUUUUGCUGGCAGCAACUAUGAAAAAAUUAUUGAUUUCAAAUCCUGAUGGACUGACUGACUGGACGUGCCAGCCAGCUAACAGCUUGCUCCAGAAUGUGCUGCUGUCACAAAACAGACUUCCAACCACCAACUACAGUUCUUGCACAUUAGUAUACGUUGUAAGACUACCGUAACAACACUAAUACUAGAUGCAUCCGUUAUCACUGUUAGAUAUUACAAAUAUUGUUUUGAUUCGUUAAACUAAUCUAAUGAUAGCAUGCUUCUACUUUAUUCAUUUUUUUUAGAAAUAAAUUUAGUUGAAAACGUGAAACAAUUAGUUUUCGAACUUGAGAUGCGUAUGAGCCAGGAGUGUCAAACAGAAAUUUUUUUUUUUUCCUUUCAAAGUGUGAAGGUCGUUGGAGCGUAGCGGUCAUGAACUACCAAGUUGAUCUAUCCUACAUCGAUCUCCUUUUCUUAUUUAGGUAUAUAUCAACUAGCUAGUAAUCAGCAAUCUACUUUAAUUCCUCAAAAACUUUCUUUAGGAGCUACUGUAUUUUUAACUACAUGCAUCUCUAACUAUACCUCAUUUAUAAUUACGUCGAAUUAAACAGCCUCUAAAAAUUUCCUUUUGUAUCCUAGAGGAUCUACACCUGCCUAAAGAGAGAGGGAUAAAUUGUGUGAACCUGGGAGAGCCAGUGAAGGCUAGAGGAAGAGUACACAAAAUGUAAGCUUUUGCUCAGAAACAACCUCCCAUAGAAAGAUCCAGCAACCACUGAUAUGAAGCAAUGCACUUUUUGUUGCUCACUCUCUUGUAAAUUCACUUCUCUAAGCCUGUAAAACUCAGGCAAUAAGUCAAACAUGGUGUUGAAGUCAUUUCCCGGGAGGUCGUUGAGGAAGACUUGGAUCUCCGGUGGCCUAUGGUUGAGCUGACGGCUUGCUUGUGCGAUCGCCUCGACGAUUUCGGAGACCAUGAACAGUGCAUUCGGACCUACCGAGCAGCCUAGGUCGGCGAUGGUCAUCUGUGUGGGGAAACCCGUCGCUCGGAACGAGCUGACGGCUGCCUCCUGUCUCGCGGUGUUCGUCGAAUCUAGUAUGAUCUUCUGCUUAAAAGGAAUUUAGAAUUUGUUAGUUAGCGAGAGAAGUGAGUUUCUACGUAUGUUUGGUUUAGCUUUCGGAACUGCUUCUUCAGAACUUAUGGGAUAUAGUACAUACAUUUAAAAUUAAGCUAGGGCAUGUGCAUGCUACCAACAAGCAAAUUAUAGAAGCAUCAUAUGCGCAUGCAAAAAAAACCUUUUCUUAAUCUCCAAAACAAAAUAAAACACAGAACAUGUAUAUAGUUAAAUUGGUUGAAGUAAAAGGCCAAAAAUAAGUUUUUAAGCCUGAAAGAUAAAAGUUUCUAUUUAGGGUUUUAGCGAGGAAGAAAUGUAAUGAGAAACUUUUCAACAAUUUUCUUCAGGAAAGUAACUCUACACAAGCUCCGGCCCGACCAAAUUAACAAGCACGAUCAAUAUACAUAUACUUAUAUAAAGGAUGUGGCUAGAUCCAAACUUGGAUGGUAGAAUUUUUGGCAUAGCUCAUGUCAUCAACUCCACUGUUCAUGUGUAGAACACUUUGCACCUCCAUGGAGCUAGUAGCUAUAGCUACAAAGAGUAAAUAGUUGUAGAGAAAGAUAUAUGGAGCACCUUGAUGAAAUAAGUUAGGCUUUUAUAGAGUUCAUGGUUUAUACUAUAGUGUACUAGUUAAGGGGCCCCGCGCUUCGCGGCGGGAAGACAAUAUAAUAUUAAAUUAUUAUAAAUAUUAACAUUAUUUUUUUUAUUAUACAUUAAUAUUUUUAAAUAUUAUUUAUCGCAGACCUUCCGCGGGAUGCGGACUGCAGUUCGAACCUGUAAGGAUCCCCGAUUAAUAAGUUCGAUGCGGCGGAAAGAUAAUACAAUAGUAAAUUAUUAUAACUAUUAAUAUCACUUUAAAUUAAAAUUUUAAUUUUGAAUGCAAGUUCAAAUAUCAAAAUCAAAAUAAAAAAUUAAAGUUUGAAAUCAAAAUCUACAAAAUUUAAGUUUGAAAUCAAAAUUUAAAAAAUUUAAGUUUGAAAUCAAAAUUUAGAUUCAAUUUAAAAUUCAAUUUAAAAUUCAAUUUAAAAUUUGAAUUCAACUUAUAAUUCAAAAUUCUAAUUACUAAUUAGUUCAAAAUUUUAAUUUUAAGAUUAGAUUCUGGAUUUAAAUUUAAAUUUAAAAUUUUAUAUUUUGGGACUAAAGUGAAAAAUUUGUAAAUUUAGAGACCAAAAUGUAAUGCACAAAAAAAACUAAAGUCUAUUUUUGGUCCCUAAAGUCUCUAAAAAUUAAAAAUUAAAUUGAAAUAAAAGCACUAUUUUUUAUUAUUUCCAAAAUAAUAUUAUUAUAUAUUUAUAAAUAAAAUAUUAUAUAACAACAUAUUUACAUAAAAUAAAAUAAAAUUAUAUAUUAAUAUAUAUAUAUACAUAUAUAUAUAUAAGCACGUAUUUCAAAUUUGGGUCUUUGACAGACCAAUUUUUUGGCGGAAAAAAAAAUGAUUCUUUUCUUACGUAAAAUAAAUAACGUAAUGAAACAAACUUUUAAUUUCUAUUUAUCUCUAAAAUAGAAAAAAUAAUAUACUUAUCCAAAUUUUUACCAACUGAAAGAUAUCUACUGUGAAUCUAUAUUUUAAUUAAAAAUUUAUUUAAUUUUUUUAUCUCUAAAAUAGAAAAGAAAUUUAUGCUUAUCCAAAUUUUUGCCAGAAUAUCUACUGUAAAUUUAUAUUUCAAUUCAAAAUUUAAAAUUAAUUUAAAAUUUAAAAUUUUGGGACUAUCAAUAUAUUACAAUAGAAAUAAUUUAAAAGAUAGAUUGGUUGAUAAAUUUGGAAAUCAUAUUUUUGAAUAAAUAUGAUGUACAAAUUUAUGAUUAAUUUGUAAAAAAUUAUCUCAAAUAAGAACGAACGAUUAUGAUCAAUUUGUUAAAAAAAAAAAAUUUAUACGUAUCUAUAACUUCAAUUCUACGAACAGUUAUGAUCAAUUGGUUAAAAAUAUUAAAAAUAAAAAUAAAUUUUUAUAUUCAAUCUAUUAAAAAGUAGCACUUCAUUUAUUUAUUUUAUAUUAAAAUUUAAAUUUGAGUUUAAAUUGUAAAUUAAAUUAAAUUUUUAAUUUUUGAUAUCAAAUCUAUCCAUCUAUUUUAUAUUAAAAUUUAAAAUUGAUAUUGUAGAUAUUUUCUAAUAAAAUGUAACAUAUAAAUUUAUGUAAUAUUUUAUUCUAAAUUUUUGAAUAAAUAUGAUUUAUAAAUGCUUAUCGAUUUAAACAAAAUUAAAAUAAUUGUUACGUGCAGUUGCACGUACACUCAACUAGUCUAUACUAUAUAUAAAAGCACGUAUUUCAAAUUUCGGUUUGUCGACAGACCCAUUUUUUGGCGGAAAAAAAAUAUUGUUUCCUCUUUCCUUAGGUAAAAUAAAUAAUGUAAUGAAACAAACUUUUAAUUCCUCUUUAUUUCUACAACAGAAAAAAAUUUAUGCUUAUCCAAAUUUUUGCUAACCGGAGAAUAUCUACUGUGAAUCUAUAUUUUAAUUCAAAAUUUGUUAAUUGUUCUUUAUUUGUAUCUAUAAUAUGAUAUCUAUACUAUCUUCUAUACUAUAUAUAAAACCACACAAUAUCUAUACUAUCUUCUAUCCUAUAUAUAAAAACACAUAUUUCAAAUUUCGAUCCGUCGACAGACCUAUUUUUUUUGGGAAAAAAAAAAAGAUUCCUCUUACUUUACAUAAAGUAAAUACCGUAAUGAAAUAAACUUUUAAUUUCUCUUUAUCUUUAAAAUAGAAAAAAAAUAUACUUAUCCAAAUUUUUGCCAACUAAAAGAUAUCUACUAUGAUUUUAUAUUUUAAUUCGAAAUUUGUUUAAUUUCUUUUAUCUCUAAAAUAGAAAAAAAAAAUUCAUACUUAUCCAAAUUUUUGCCAGAACACCUACUUUAAAUCUAUAUUUCAAUUCAAAAUUUAAAAUUAAUUUAAAACAUUAAAUUUUGGGACUAUCAACAUAUUACAACAGAAAUAAUUUAAAAAAUAGAUUGAUUGAUAAAUUUGUAAAUCAUAUUUUUGAAUUAAUAUGAUGUAAAAAUUUAUGAUCAAUUUGUAAAAAAUAUCUUAAAUAAGAACGAACGGUAACGAUCAAUUUAUUAAAAAAAUAUUUAUCCCUAUUUAUAAAUUCAAUUCUAGGAAUAGUUAUGAUCAAUUGGUCAAAAAUAUUUAAAAUAAAAAUGAACGGUUUAUGAUCAAUCUGCUAAAAAAUAGCACUUUUAUCCAUCUAUUUUACACUAAAAUUUAAAUUUGAGUUUAAAUCGUAAAUUAAAUUAAAUUUUUAAUUUUUGAUAUCAAAAUUGAAAUAACAAUUAAAAACUUUUAAUUAUAUAAUGGAUCAAAAUUAAAUUUUAAAAUUUGAAAUAAAUGUCAAUUAAAUUUUGAUGCUUUUAGUUUAAAACACUUACUUAAAUCUUAGAUUUUUUAGAAAUUAAAAAAUAUAUAAAAAUAUUUAAUGCAUAUAGAAAAAGUAAUAUACGAUAUUGUAGAUAUUUUCUAAUAAAAUAUAACAUAUAAAAUUAAAAAAUAUUUUAUUUUAAAUUUUUGAAUAAAUAUGAUUUAAAAUUUUUUAUUGAUUUAAAAUAAAUUAAAAUAAUUGUUAUGUGCAUUUGCACGUACACUCAACUAGUAUAUAUAUAUAUAUAAUUAGUAUUAUAUAGAGAGAGAGACGAGAGAGAGAGAGAGAGAGAGUCCCGCACAUGCUAUUACAUAGCACGAAGCACUUGGUCUACCCAGUUUUUUCGCCGUUAGAUCUAAUCCUUGAUAUUUUCACCGUUAAGAUCAUACUUAUUCAACCAACCACACCACUUAAACCCUAAAGGCCCACAUCAUCCUAACGCCACAUUCUCUUAAUCUAAUGCUAAAAACUGUACACAAGUGCCUUGUUAUUAAUAAGGCAUAGUCGUCUAUUCCUCUCUUCUCUCUCUCUUCUUCUCUAUAUAUAUAUAUAUAUAUAUAUAAUCAAAGAGAGAGAGAGAGGUCUACUGCUCUCUCUCUCUCUCUCUCUCUCUCACAGCCAGCGGUCCACGAGGUGAAGCCCACCUCGUGGACCUCAUGCAACAUGGGCAUGUGUGAACCCCGCCAUUUUUCGGGUGGGCCUCACUUACCCCGUGGGAUGCGGAGAGCUUUCUCUCUCUCUCUCACAGCCAGCGGUCCACGAGGUGAAGCCCACCUCGUGGACCGCGUGCAAGAUGGGUAUGUGUGAACCCCGCCAUUUUUUUGGUGGGCCCCACUUACCCGGUGGGAUGCGGAGAGCUUUUUAUGGUUCCCAAUUCAUAAGAGUAUAAAUAUGCUUUAUAUUGGUUUUGCACAUGAAGUGUUAAUUGUUAGUAGUUUGGCAAAUUAAUUAGUUGGGGUGUCCAUUUUCGUCUAUAACAUCACAUGUGGAAUCUAAAAUGUGGACCCGCUAUAAAAGACCAAGUUCGAGAAACACGAUUUGUGUCACAUAUGUUCCCACAAGCCAAGUUGAUUGUGUACUAUUGAGAGAGAAAGAGACAGAGAGAGUAGUUGCAUAUUUCAAUAUGUUUGAAUCACACAUUUGAAAUUUAAGACUUUCUUGAGAUUCUCAUGUUGGUCUUUAUUCUCAUUAAUUUAUUAUUUGUGUUAAUGCCAAAAUUAAAAUUAACACGCCGACCUAACCCACAUAUGAGCUAAGGACACGUGGUACACCAAGAGUCGGCAACAGGGCGCCUGAAGGUCAAGAACGUUUAGGCGGAAACGGUUGAGAAAUGGGGCGUAACUUCCAUGUGAAGUGGGGCGUAACUUCCAUGAGAAGUGGGGCGUAACUUCCAUGAUCAUUGCUACACAACUUCCCCCACUACUAUAACCAAACAAUAAUAUGGGCUGAUAAGAUAUAAUAAAUAGUAACUUUGAAGCCCGUAAUAAGCGUCUUUCUCUCCCAUGAACGAGAAGACCACCGCAUUUUCAUAUCCUUCCUUUCCUGCAUUUAUUGCUUUCUAGGAGUAGUCUAAAUGUAAUCUUUUCUUUUUCGCAUUUACUGUUUUUCUUGGAGUAGCUUUUAAGUAGAACCCUGAAGUCUGUCUGCCCCACGAGCAUCACUCUAUUGUAAACUACAUAUUUGCAGAGUCUGUAUACCCUUCGGGCACACUGUUUUAUUAAUAUAUAUAUAGGCAUUCGGCUCUUUUAGCCAACCAGUUAUUGUGUAUUUCAUUUAUUCGGCUCUUUUAGCCGACCAGUUACUUUGUACUUCUUCCAUUCGGCUCUUCUGCCGACAUUGAUCCCUGCACAGUUCAUACAUUCGGCUCAUCCAGCCGAACCGAUUCAAAAGUAGAGGUUUUCGAACUCGGCUGAUCCGAUCCCUCAUCAGCCGAAUCGCUUGAUCCAGUCGAAAGGCGCACACUUCGAGGGUCACUAUUCACAGCCGUUUCGCACGCCGGUGAGGAAGAUCUUUAACCGGGUCAGGGAUUAGAGAAAUCGGCUACCAACAAUUUUGGCACGCCCGGUGGGACCCAAUUUUAGGUAAAUUUAUAUUUUUAUUGAAAUUAUGGCUGAUGAUAAUGGCAUGAAUUUGUGCAAUCGGGUUGUUCCUAGAAAUUCUGGAAGUGAUCAACCUAGCGAUUCAGACAAUACUAGCGAACGCCAAGCAGUUUCGCCAGUUGAAGGAGAAACUAGUGGAUAGUCGGCUUAUCAAGAGCCGACUCUAACUCAGGCGCUCGGCCAGAUGAUCCGAGUCCUGCAAACUAUAGAUCAAAAUAUUUAUCAAAGUACCGUUCAAUUAGACGCGGUAUUGGCAGCCAUCACGGCCUAUAAUGAAAAUAUUGUUCGAAUCAGACAGUUAUUUACCCAAAACGAGCAACCUUACGGGGGACAACAGGGGCCCCUAACUGCGCCGGCGCAACAAAAUUCAGUCACACCAGCGGUCUCACAUGCGCAACUGCAAAUGGCACCUUUCGAGGCUGCUUAUAGGCCGGCGAAUAUAAACGCUGGCCCGCAGUCGGAGAUUUCAUCCGGUUUACCUCCAUUACCAGCUUAUCAGCCCCAAAAUGCGGGGAUUAGAGCUGGGGGGCAGGCCCCUAAUGCUAUGCAACGAGCGAACCCUGCAAUACAGAAUUAUGGAGUUCCUCAAGGGCCGAAUCCGACUCAAGCACAAGCUCCGCUUCCCAUACAAAGGAAUAACAAUGAGCUGUAUGAUCAGAUUGAGGAAGUCAUCCGGAAUACCUUCGGAGUAGGGGCCAGGCCGGCUAUGCGGCCUGUUUUCCGAUCCCCGUAUCCCGCAAAUAUAGAUGCAGAGCAUUCUUAUCCGGCGAAUUGAAAAAUGCCAAAGUUUGACAAGUUUUCCGGAGAUGAGACCGAAAACACGGUCGAAUAUGUUGCACGGUUCACGGCACAGUGCCGGGAAGCCGCCACAGACCUAUUUUUGAAACUUAGGUUAUUCAACACCUCGUUAACCAAGACAGCUUUUACUUGGUACACGAGUCUACCCACUAAUUCCGUCCGAGAUUGGGACGAAUUAGAAGGAAAAUUUCAUGAGCAGUUUUAUAGAUCAGAACCAGAAUUGUCGGUAGCUGAUCUAACCGAAUUUAAACAAAGAACAGGCGAAUCGGUUGAAGAAUAUUUAAACCGAUUCAAGACGGCCAGAAGUCGAUGCUUUGUUAGGAUGUCGGAAUCAGAGUUCGCCAAAAUAGCGUUAAAUGGUCUGCAUUUUAAGAUAAAAGACCAUUUUGAAGAUAAAGAUUUUUCUAACCUAUUUGACCUAGGUGUUCGGGUUGCCCAAUAUGAGUAAUUCCGGAAGGAAAGUGAGGACGAUCGGCUGCAAUGGAGCCGAUAUAAAAAUCAAAGUAAAGGCAAGGAGAAAUCCUUAAUAGAAGAACAGUCGGUUCAAGAAGAGCCGAGCCAAUCGAGUGAAAGUGAAGAAUCGGCUGAUUAAGCCGAGAUAUAUGCGGCUAGUAAAGAGUCGCUUUCUUCAAGGAGAAAUCCUUGAUAGAAGAACAUUCGGUUCAAGAAGAGCCGAACCAAUCGAGUAAAAGUAAAGAAUCGGCUAAUGAAGCCGAGGUAUAUGCAGCUGAGAUGAUAAAGAGCCGUUUUCUUUAAGCCGACCAAAACCAGCGAAACUAAAGCUUAGGUGUAAUACACUGGAUCUUAGCAAAUUGCAAGAUUCGAGUGUUUGAUCUGUGUGUGGAGCCUUUCCACAGUUUUUGGAGGGUCGUUGAUAGUGUUCCGACCCCUGGCACGCAUCCCGAGGAUGUUGGAGUGAGACUUGGCACCAAAAUCCCAAAAUUGGAAUUUUUGGUCAGCUCUCGGGUAGCCUGCGGCAGGGCUUGUACCGGAACAAGACUGGUCUUGUACCGGUACAAGGGUUGAUGGUUGUACCGGUACAGCCAUCGGGCUUGUACCGGUACAGAGCCGCAGACCCACGCGCGACCGAGCUCGGUGUUUGGCAUAUUUCGUCGGCCCUUGUACAGGUACAAGAACCCGUGUACCAGUACCAGGAGGCAGUUUCGGCAGAAUGAACUGCAGGGUUUGUUGCGUUUGUUAGCCUUCUAUUAGUAAUCCCACGCCCUAGGGCAUCUCCUGAGCUUGGAACUGCGGCGAGAAAGGUGAGGAGCACCUCCACACCUUCCUUUGUGUGAUUUCUUGAUUUUUGGUUGGGGUUUUAAGAGAUUAAACUUCAUUUUUGCUCUUUUGCUUUGUUGGAAGCUUUUCCAUCAUUGAGAGCUUGAUAUUUGGAGCUUUGUAGAGUGGAAGAUCUUGGGACUUGGAUAGUUUAGAGCUUGGAUUGAAGCUUCUAAGAGGUAAGCAACAUGUUCUCUCCCUCUAGAUUCAAGUUUUAUUGGGAUUUUGAGAUUGAAACCCUAGAAUGAGGUUUAGGGUUAAUAUUGGGGGAUUUUGAAUCUAGGGCUUUUGAGCUAGAUUGAGUGAUUAGAGGCUUCCAUUGGUUGGAUUGGAUGAGCCCUAGCUUCAUUUUGGAGUUUUAGAGGAAUUUUUGCACAAGGUGAGUUAUUCCUUCACCUAUGAUUGAUUAGCUAAUGUUUGAGCUAGGUAUUCGUGUUCGUUCGGCUCGUAUGACUCAUGUUCUUGUACCUCUUAGGGUAUAGGAGAUAGAGGACACCCUCGUUGGAGCGCACGAGGAUUUCGUUGUCAUCGAGUGGGUUUGGCUUCGUGGAAAUGGGGCGAAAUGGCCCCUAUGCUCUUUCUACUUGUUGUAAUUAUUUUUUUAAGUUCAUUUCUAUGCUAAAUGGAAUCUAUAUGAAUUUUAGAGCACUUAAAAUGCAUGCCUCGUGUAUUAUGAAAAUUUCACUAUAUAGUAGAGCUAUAUGAUAGAAUGCAUGCAUACGGAAAGUGUUUUAUUUUGCAAGUAAAAAAUACAUCUCUUAUGAGAUAUUAUGACUUGAUUUUAUGACUUUGGAACAUAGUUACCAUGUUUUUGACAUAGAGAACCAGAGUGUCAUAAAGGGGCAUUUGAAACUAGUAAACUAUGAAACUGCAACAUAGAGACAUAUUGGUAGGCCACUACAUAUCUGCCUAUUAUUCCAUGUUAGAGACAUGAUGACAUAGGGAUAGGCCUUUGAGAUACUUGACACAUUCCAUGUUAUUAGACAUGAGGACUUGGUACUUGCGACAGAUCGUUUGACACCUUGCCAUUGUGCUCAUUCGCACAUGCUUGUGAGGGUCGCUCCCUACAAGCCGGCACUCGGAGAUGGCCAUCGCGAUUCAUUUUCGCCGUGCGGGACUGGGCGCCGAAGUGGAUUGCGUGGGACAGGCUCAUUCCUAGGGAGGGAUGAUGACUACCACGGGGCCAUAGGCUCGGCACGCCAGACAGCCUACGGGUGGGUCUCUAGGGCCAUAGACAGCCUUCGGUGGGUCUCUUCAGAUUUGACUUUGUGUAUCCAUUAUGACAUGUGGCACAGAUGAGGAUUUAGUAUACUACUUGGACAUUGAUUAGAAUAUUAAACAACGGAACUUUACUAUUUUCACAUUGUGAACAUCAUGAUAGUUGGAGACAUUUACUUCAUGCAUAGUUGCUUUCAUACUUAUGCUAUUUAUGCAAGUAGAGAUAUCAUGUCGUAAGUAGGUUACAUUUUUACUUACCUUUCGCUUUUCUACUUUUAUAGUCACUGACAUCUUUUCGUAGCUUUGGGCUUGUGGUGCAUUCACUGAAGUCAGUAAUUGCCCACUGGGAACUAUUUCUAAUAGUUCUCACGCCCCUGUUUUAUGGUUUACUUUUCAGAGUGUUCGGCACCGGCGGAGGCACGGGAUCGCGGCAAGGGGAUCGCUUAGCUAGCUAGCGAGGAGCGGUACUUUGCCUAGGUGGUUUACUCCUUCUUUUUGUAGUUGAGAGAGAGAGUGAGAGAUUUUUGUAACCAUGUAUAGAGACCACCUAUGUAUCUACUUUUAGCACUUGUAUUUGGGAUUUCCUAUUGUUCUUACUUUAUGUUUUAUUUAGUGGAUUUACAGUUUUAUCCUUAUCCUUGUUGUAGCUUUUAGACAUUUAUUAUGCUUUGAUACUCCUAGAUGUCUUGUAUUAUUGCUUUUAUUAUUGUUGUUUCUAGACGCCUUAUACGUUUUAGACGUAUGGCGGGUCUGGGCACGCGCCGGGCGGGCUUCCGCUGGGUCCCGGGGCGUGACAUUAGGUCUCGAUUGUGUCAUUGAGCAGUCGAUUUGGCACCAAUAGUCAUCCGAAUGUUCAUUCGAAAGACUAUUGGGAGGGCAUUGUUGAUGCCAAAAUUAAAAUUAACACGCCGUAACCCACAUAUGAGCUAAGGACACGUGGUACACCAAGAGUCGGCAACAGGGCGCCUGAAGGUCAAGAACGUUUAGGCGGGAACGGUUGAGAAGUAGGGCGUAACUUCCAUGUGAAGUGGGGCGUAACUUCCAUAAGAAGUGGGGCGUAACUUCCAUGAUCAUGGCUACACAACUUCCCCCACUACUAUAACCAACCAAUAAUGUGGGCUGAUAAGAUAUUAUAAAUAGUAACUUUGAACCCUGUAACUUUGAACCCUGAUAUAACAUGCUUACUUGUGUAGAGUAGUUACUUUACCUGUUGCAUCAUAAUUGUUGCAUUUAAAAUAUAGUAGUUCUACUACUCAUUAAUUGCUUAUUAUUAUUGUCAUUCCUACCAUGUUGUAGUUGUACAUGCUUUCUCUUUAUACAUCAUGAACCUAGUGGUGUAAUUCGCUGAGGUCGGCGGCAUACCCACUAAGAACUAUUAACUAAUAGUUCUCACGCCCUAUUUGUUGUUGUUUUAUUUACAGAGCCAUCCACUGCGGGAGAGGCUAGGGACCGCGGCAAGGGAGUCGCGUCUAGCUAGGCAUAGCUUGGAGUCCCGCUAGGUGAUCACCUUGCUGUUUUGGUUGUGUGGACGAGAGUGAUUUUCUACCCGUGUAUAGAGACUACCACAAAUAUAUGUAGUUGUUUUGUGACCGUGUGAUGUAUGUUAUUGUUGGAGAGUUGUAUUUACAAUUUUAUACUCUUGUUUCCUGUUGUCUUUAGAGGUUGGUCUAUAUGUUACACUCUUGCUUUGAGUACUUCUAGUACCUUUUGUACAUUCUAUACUCUGAUACCAUGUUAGACUCUUCGGUUGAUUGUUACUUUUCUAGCAUGGUUUUGGUAGAUGCCUUGUAUACUGCAGGUAUAUGGCGGGUCUGUGCAUGUAUCCGGUAGGCUUCCACUGAUACCCAGGUGUGACAUCCGUCCUCCUCGCCCUCGCCCUAGCCCGCUCUGCCGCGCCCCAUCGCGCCCUCCCCUCUACGCCCACCUCCACCUACUCCGCCGCCGCACCGGCCCCGUCGCCGCCUCCGCCCUCCACAUCACGUGCGCGCCGCACCUCGUCGGUGAGAAGGGCAUCGGAGACGACGACGUGGGGCACAGCAGAGCGGGCGAGGGCGAGGAGGACGGAGGCGUAGGAGGCGGGGGCACCUGAGAGCUAUAUUUCUUAGUUUUCUUUUUUCUUCCUAAUGUUUGCGGUUAAGCAACUUGUUAGAACUUAUUUUUUAUCGUGCUCAGCUUUCGAUUGAUGCCGAUAAUCAUAGGAAUAUUGAUUCUAGGACACUAUUUCACAUUAGUUUACUACGGCAUGGGUGUCCUCUAUUUAACAUAUUCUUCAAGCAUGAAUGCUUGAGCAAUUUAGAUGGUAAUGCUUUACUAUUGACCUUCUAGGGAAACUGAAGAAUGUUUGGAAUAGAGGUCUUUAAUGGAGCAAGCAUUUUGCGAGUAUCAUUCGGAAAGUUGUAGGGCAAAUAGUUUGUUGUGAGCUCAAAAUUGAGAUAGCUUGCAGCCCCUCGCCCGCUCCGCCGCGCCCCAUGUCGUUGUCUCCCGGCGCCCUCCUCACCGACGAGGCGCAACACGCGCACGUGACGUAGAGGGUGGAGGUGGCAGCUGGGCCAGUGCGGCAGCAGAGCAGGUGGAGGUUGGCGUAGAGGGGGAGAACGCGGUGGGGCGCGGCGAAGCGGGCGAGGGCGAGGAGGACGGAGGCGUAGGAGGCGGGGUCGGGGCCGGGCAUGCGGAGUGUCACGCCCCGGAUUACUCGAUCCCCGGGCUCGCCGACAAAUCCGCCGUACACAAAGGAAUUUUUCUUAUAUACAAAGCGUAGCUGUACCUGUAUAAUAUAUAAUACUACAACCAGUAGUAAAGAGCUACUAAGAAAAUAAAACAUAACCAGGUAGAAAAGAACAGUUCACUAUGCAUACAACAUCCAGUACACAAAAACUCGCCCAGCGAAAUACAGUAAAGGUAUGUAUAUGAACUCAAAAACCACACUAUCUGAAGCGGGUAAUCCUCUAGCUCGGCGACUCGUCGAGUAGGGCUCUAGCUCGUAACGCCCUUGCCACGAUCUGCCUCAGAAGAUGCAGCAGCCGGAACCGAAGGCUCUGCAAAACAGUAGUAACAACUGGGCGUAAGAACUACUGUAAACACAAGUAGUCCUCAGUGGAUACCGCCCUCAACAUCGUCAAUCCACCCACCAAGUCUACAGAAGGGAGCGAAGAUAGUAGGAAAAGCUGGAAGAAAUUUAUAGCUAAAUGCCACUAUACUAUCGUGCUCUACACUAAGCAACUGUAAUAAAAGUCAAUUCUGACCCAAAUCUCACUAGGACUGUAAGCAUACCCGUCCCUGGGACUGUGAACACACCCGCCCCGCCCAGUUGUGACUAUACAGCUACCUCCAUGCAAAGCAGUCAGUGGAGAGCGAGUCCAACUUGCACGAAUGACACCAACGCAAAAGCACAACGCCCGUCUCCGGAGUGGCACUCGUGGGAGCUACCCAACCGAGUAUGCAGCGUAUCUCUAUUGUGCUCAAUCAGACUCUCACAAGCCAAAGUCAAGUAAAUCAGGUCCAACUGGUCUAACAACCAACAGGUCACGUGCCCUCGGCACAAUCUGACGCCAAAACGGCGUUAUGGGUCCACCGUCAACCCAGCAGACACCCAACAGUCCGGAACAGUCUGAACGCUACUGUAAAAAUACACUCGGUAUCCCAGCACGAGCGUAACUGAAAUCUAAACUACGUGGGUAUCCACCACGCUGAUACUGCGACGAUACAAAAUAACAACGGCUCCUAGAGCUAAAUCAGAUAGUUUAAACAUAUGACAGGUUCGAAUCGCAGGUUUUCUCCUAAGUCAUAUCCAAGUCCAACAUGUGCAAGUAGAUUUAGUAACACUAGGCUCCAAUUCAGAUUUUUGUAAAAGAAACAUCAAAUCCAUGAAUCGAGUGAAUAGGAUAUGCAAAAACAACUACAACAACACAUGCCGACUAUCUCUAUAUACUUAGAAGACAAACCGAUGAUUAACCUACCUCGAAAGCUACUCCCAGUCCGGCACGGUGUUAAGAACGGCUGAAACGCACCCUCACCCGGCCUCCCCGUAGCACUACGACGACAAAGACACGCUCGAACGGCACCGCGGCGCGACGUCGACAACACCCGAACUCCAACCGAGCUCCUCCACCACGCACGGUCGAGCACAAGGAGAAGAGAGAGAGAGCACUAAAAACAUCUCCUCUCUGAUCUCUCUAUCCUAUAUAGGGGGGAGAAGGGUUGGUGAUACAACCAAGGCAAGAGAAUUACCAAAAAGCCCCUUACCUACCUUGGUGUACCGGUACACGGACAAUUGUACCGGUACAAAUGGCAACCCGAGAGCAGCUGCGCAGGUUCUCGCAAAAUGUACCGGUACAUCUCGAUGGUUGUACCGGUACAGGAAGUGUACCGGUUACAACUCGAUGGUUGUACCGGUACAACAGGCAAAAAAUAGCCUAAUUCUAAUUUGCAAUGCUCACACCCUGCUCUCGCGUCGCAAUGAGUCCGUUUAGCAUCUAAUUCGCACCAACACGACUCAAACUUGUCCCGGCACUCUCCAGAGCUGUCGACAAGCCUCAACAGCAGAACUCCAUGGAUACCACAUCCUCCCCCACUAUAAAAAGUUUCGUCCUCGAAACUUAAGCAUACCUCAGCUCAGUGCAUCAAACAGAUAGGGAUAGGAUUCCCUCAUCACCGUCUCGGGCUCCCAAGUCGCCUCCCGCUCCUCGUGAUUACUCCACUAAACCUUCACAUACGGGAUGACCCGAUUGCGCAACUCUUUUGUCUCCCGAGCAAGAAUUCGUAAUGGUCGCUCCUCGUAUCUCAGAUCCUCACCAAUCUCUAGUGGAGUGAAGUCGAUCACGUGAGAAGGAUCGAGAAAAUAUCUCCUCAGAGCCGAGACAUGGAACACAUCGUGAAUGUCUGCUAGCCGUGGAGGUAGAGCAAUCCUGUAGGCAACCGGUCCAACUCGCUCUAAUACAUCAAAAGGGCCAAUGAAACGUGGACUGAGCUUUCCACGCACUCCGAAUCUGCGAAUCCCUCUGGACGGUGAGACUUUCAGAAAAACAUGAUCUCUAACCUGGAACUCCAAGUCUCGUCUCCUGAUAUCGGCGUAGCUCCUCUGGCGGCUCUGGGCUGUCAAAAGGUGUCGUCGAACAACUCUCACCUUUUUCUCAGCCUCUAGCAAGAUCUCAAGCCCUAGCGUCUUUCUUUCACCCACAUCACUCCAAAACAAAGGGGAUCGACAUCUGCGUCCAUACAACGCUUCAAACGGAGCCAUCCGGAUGCUCGUUUGAUAGCUGUUGUUGUACGCAAACUCAGCCAGUCUCAAAUGUCGAUACCACCCUCCUCCAAAGUCCAGAACACAUGCCCUCAGCAUGUCCUCUAGAGUCUGUAUGGUCUUCUCUAACUGACCAUCUAUCUGUGGGUGAAACACCGUGCUGAAAUGUAGCUGUGUACCCAAGGCUGUCUGAAGACUCCGCCAAAAAUGUGAAACAAACCUCGAGUCUCUGUCCGAUACAAUCAACAUCCCCCAUGCAGCCUGACGAUCUCAUCCAAGUAUAGCUGCGCGAGCCUCUCUCUGAACCAGAUAGUCUGAACAGGUAGGAAGUGAGCAGACUUGGUGAGUCUGUCCACUAUCACCCAAAUAACAUCGAAACCACCCAGUGCUCUAGGUAACCCCCCGACGAAGUCCAUCGUGAUCUGCUCCCAUUUUCACUCGGGCACUGGUAGAUUCUGAAGCUUGCCAGCAGGUACCUGAUGCUCGGCCUUUACCUGUUGACAAGUCAGACACUGAGCCACAAAUCUGCCAAUGUCCCUCUUCAUUCCAUUCUACCAGAACUAUGCCUUCAAGUCCUUAUACAUCUUGGUUCCACUAGGGUGAACCGUAUAAGGAGCACAAUGAGCCUCUCUCAAAACAUCCGCUCGGAUCUCUGAAUCCAUAGGCACACACAGUCGGUCCCUGUACCGCAGUACUCCCGAACUGUCUACUACAAAGCCCUCAGCCUGUCCCCUGUCUAACUGCUUUCGAAUCAUCAACAAGUGUGGAUCUCCACUCUGCUUCUCUCGGAUCCUAUCCAACAGAGUGGGCUGCAAGAUUAAAGACAUCAGUCUCACAGUAGACCCAGGGAACACUAUCUCGAGCCUCAGCCGCUGCAGCUCCUCGAGUAACGGCCUCUGCUGUGUGAUCAUCAAACUCAAGCUCUGCACUGCCUUCCUGCACAACGCAUCUGCCACCACAUUCGCCUUGUCGGGAUGAUACUGAAUACUAACGUCAUAGUCCUUCAGUAACUCCAACCACCGGUGCUGCCUCAGGUUCAGUUCUCUCUCGGUGAACAGAUACUUAAGACUUUUAUGAUCGGUGAAAACCUCACAGUACUCGCCGUACAAGUAAUGCCGCCACAACUUCAAAGUAAAGACUACCGCGGCAAGCUCCAAGUCAUGCGUAGGGUAAUUCUUCUCGUAAUCCUUUAACUGCCGUAAAGCAUAAGUAAUUACCCUACUAUGCUGCAUCAGCACACAGCCCAGCCCGCUGUGCGAUGCAUCACUGUAGAUCACAGAUCCUUCACCCAUCACAGGAAGGGGAAGGAUAGGAGCUGACGUCAACCUCUGUCUCAACUCAUCAAAACUCCUCUGACAAUCCUCACUCCAGAUGAACCGAAUCCCCUUUCGAGUCAAUCGUGUGAGGGGUGUGGAAAGCUCCGAAAAGCCUUCCACAAACCGACGGUAAUAUCCUGUCAGUCCAAGGAAACUCCUCACCUUAGUCACCGUCGUCGGUCUGGGCCAAUCCCGAAUAGCAUCGAUCUUCUUCGGGUCCACUGCUACUCCCUCAGCAGAAAUCACGUGGCCCAAGAAAGUAACCUCCCGCGACCAGAACUCGCACUUCUUCAACUUGGCAUACAACUUCUUCUCUCGCAGAAGCUGCAGCACAGUCCUCAAGUGCUCCUCAUACUCGGCAUCGCUCCGGGAGUAUAUCAGAAUAUCAUCAAUGAAGACCACCACAAACCUAUCCAAGAACGGUUUGAACACUCUGUUCAUCAAAUCCAUGAAUGCGGCAGGGGCAUUCGUCAAUCCAAAAGGCAUCACCGUAAACUCAUAAUGCCCGUACCGAGUCCGAAAAGCCGUUUUGAGAACAUCCUCGGCCCUCAUCAGCAGCUGGUGGUAACCGGACUGGAUAUCAAUCUUCGAGAAGACACAAGAUCCUUGCAGCUGAUCAAACACAUCAUCAAUGCGCGGCAAAGGAUUCUUGUUCUUGAUAGUCACCUUAUUCAACUCCCGAUAAUUCACAUAUAACCUGUGCGAACCAUCCUUCUUCUUUACAAAUAACACUGGCGCUCCCCAGGGCGAUACACUGGGUCUCACAUACCCCUUAUCCAUCAAAUCUUGAAGCUACGCCUUUAGCUCUCUCAGCUCCGCCGGUGCCAUCUGAUAAGGUAUCUUUGAGAUUGGUGCAGUUCCAGGAACUACAUCAAUCACGAACUCAAUCUUCCUCUCUGGCGGCAUCGUCGUCAACUCUGGAGGAAACACAUCCGGAAACUCGCGGACUACAGGAAUAUCCUCGAGUCCCGGCGCCGCCUAGGUACUUCAGCAACUGCGGCUAGAAAAGCAAUGCAUCCUCUACUCAUCAGCUGUCGAGCCCUCGCGAAAGAAAUCCAAACGGCAAACAACGUGCUCCUACAGCCCCUAAAAGUGAACUCCUCCUGGCCUGGCUUGCGGAACGUCACCGUCCUCGCUCCACAAUCGAUAAUAACAAUAUACCGCGCCAGCCAAUCCAUACCGAGCACAACGUCAAAGCCCUGCAGAUGCCCUAACACCAACAGGUAUGCGGUCAUAAUCCACGAAUCCAACUGCACCGGACAUGACCAACAACACUCUGCAACCUGUAACACAUGGUCGGAGAUCUGCACCUCUUGUGCCUGUGGCAAUGACCCUAAUUCUAGACCAUGCAACAAUGCAAAUGCUCAGCUAACAAAGGAAUGCGAUGCACCGGUAUCAAAAAGUGUACGAGCUCUAAUGCCAGAAAUCAAAAUAAUACCUACUACCACUCGGUCGGCUGCUGUAGAGUCCUCCACCUGGGUUACAUAGACCCUACCACUCGCAGCCUGCUAUCGCCGCUCACCCUGCCGUGGCACAGAUGCCCUAUCCUCCUGGCGGUAACUCGACGGUGCCCCAUAAGACUGCAGGGAGGCUGGCUGUGCAGAUGCUGUGGAUGGUACUGGUGAUGCUGCUCGAGGACAAGCUGAUCUCAUAUGCUCUGGCUGACCGCAACUGUAACACCUGCCCUCUCUCUGCUCGCACUACCGGGGCCAGUGGGGUCCCCCGUAGAUCACGCACUGCGGUGUCCUCGGUGGCUGUCCCUGCUGACGGGAUCCCCCAGAACGCUGACACCCCGAAGACCCAUGACCCUGAGAGUGUGAUCUUGGCGGUCUCGGUGGACGCCUACUGCUCGACUGUCCUGCAUCAUCUGGAAAGGGGCGCUUCCUGUCCUGACUCUGCCCCACGGCCUGAGUCCUCUCCCAAAUGGAAUCAUCACCUCUCUCAACCCAAAGAGCCUGCUCCAUCGACGCAUCCAAGGUCCACAACCUCUGCGCAUGAACCAACCGGAAGAUCUCGGGCCUCAAACCCUGCUCAAAGAGGUAAACUCGGUGCGCCUCAUCCCUGGCCAUGAACGGCACACAAUUCAGGAGUCGCGUGAACUCCCGAAUGUACUCCUGAACUGUCCGCUCACCCUGCUGGAUCUUCUUCAGAUCCUCCUCAAGCUUCUGUUUCACACUGUUGGGAAAUACAUCCCAAACAGCAUUCCACAGAACUCGUCCCACUUCAUCUGCAGCGCUACUAGCCCAUAGUCUCGCCUCAUCCUCCUCCACCAUGCGUGAGCAUUGCUUGACAAACAGUGGACUCCCAAAUGUACCUGCUAUCUCUCUGAGACAAAUAGAUCCUCAAAUAACUUCUCCAUCGCACUGACCCAGCCCUCAACAACCCAGGCCUCAGUGCAACUGCCAUCGAAGAUCGACGGAUCAAAACGGCGAAACCGAGCCAGCCUCUCUGUCAACCGCUCCUGCUUGGCCUCUGUCAUCUGUACUGGCCCCCUAGCAGGCACAACGGGUGUCACAGGAAUCUCCACUGGCUGGGGUACAACUGCGGCUGGUGCUGCUGCCGGGGUGGUCGAAGAUGGAACAGCCUGCUCUGGUGCGCUCGGUACUAUACUCUGUGACGGAGCCACUCUAUCACACAACCUCUGCAACAACUCCCCCUGUCGCCUCGUCACUUCUAUCAAGGCAGCCAACUGUGCACUCAAAUAAGGAGGUGCACCCACCUCCAGUCGGGCCCUCUACUCCACAACAGAGAGUGCACUCGCCUCUACUUGCUCCGGCAUCUCACGAGGUACGGCACGAUCCUGAGUCAACUGUGCACGAUCCCGCGUAGACGGUCGACCUCGGCGACGAUACAUAGCUGCAAGAAACAUAACGGGGUCAGAUCAAACAAACACUCUUGACCCAAUCAACGAAAGUCUAGAAGGCGGCCUCCUGUUUCUCCUCAAAAUUAUGUCGUCUGCAGCCAACAUAAUUUUUCUGGACCGAAACAGAAACUCUUUCAAUCACUCCCUCCGCUCCAGGAGGAGUUAGAACAAUCAAUCAGUGACUUACGCGAUAAAUCACGCCUCUCGCGUCUUGCUUUCCUAAGGUUUGCCAACUUAGGUUUCCUAAGUCCCAACGACCUAAUGCAAAGCUCUGAUACCAACUUAAUUUGUCACGCCCGGAUUUCUCGAUCCCCGGGCACGCCGACAAAUCUGCCGUACACAAAGAAAUUUUCUUUGUAUAUGAAGUGUAGCUGUACGUGUAUAAUAUACAAUACUACGACCAGUAAUAAAGAGCUGCUAGGAAAAUAAAACAUAACCAAGUAGAAAAGAACGGUUCACUAUACAUACAACAUCAAGUACACAAAAACUCGCCCAGCGAGAUACAGUAAAGGUAUGUAUAUGAACUCAAAAACCAUACUACCUAAAGCGGGUAAUCCUCUAGCUCGGCGACUCGUCGGGUAGGGCUCUAGCUCGCAACCCCCUUGCCACGAUCUGCCUCAAAAGAUGCAGCAACCGAAACCGAAGGCUAUGCAAAAACAGUGGUAACAAUUAGGCGUGAGAACUACUGUAAACACAAGUAGUCCUCAGUGGGUACCGUCCUCAACAUCGUCAAUCACCCACCAAGUCUACAGAAGGGAGCGAAGAUAGUAGGAAAAGCUGAAAAAAAUCUACAGCUAAAUGCCACUGCACUAUCCUACUCUACACUAACCAACUGUAAUAAAAGUCAAUUCUGACCCAAAUCUCACUAGGACUAUAAGCAUAUCCGUCCCUGGGACUGUGAAUACACCCGUCACGCCCGGUUGUGAAUAUACAGCUACCUCCACGCAAAGCAGUCAGUGGAGAGCGAGUCCAACCUGCACGAACGAUACCAACGCGAAAGCACAAUGCCUGUCUCUGGAGUGGCACUCGUGGGAGCUACCCAACCGAGUAUGCAACGUAUCUCUGUCGAGCUCAAUCAGACUCUCACAAGCCAAAGUCAAGUAAAUCAGAUCCAACUGGUCUAACAACGAACAGCUCACGUGCCCUCGGCACAAUCUGAUGCCAAAAUGGCGUUAUGGGUCCACCGUCAACCCAGACGGCACCCAACAGUCCGGAACAGUCUGAACGCUACUGUAAAAAUACACUCGACAUCCCAGCACGAGCGUAACUGAAAUCUAAACUAUCUGGGGUAUCCACCACGCUAAUACUGCGGCGAUACAAAAUAACAACGGCUCAUAGAGCUAAAUCAGAUAGUUUAAACAUGUGACAGGUUCGAAUCGCAGGUUUUCUCCUAAGUCAUAUCCAAGUCCAACAUGUGCAAGUAGAUUUAGUAACACUAGGCUCCAAUUCAGAUUUUUGUAAACUAAACAUCAAAUCCAUGAAUCAAGCGAAUAAGAUAUGCAAAAACAACUACAACAACACAUGCCGACUAUCUCUAUAUACUUAGAAGACAAACCGACGAUUAACCCACCUCAAAAGCUACUCCCAGUCCGGCACGGUGUCGAGAACGGCGGAAACGCACCCUCGCCCGGCCUCCCCGCAGCGCUACGACGACGAAGACAUGCUCGAACGGCACCGCGGCGCAACGUCGACAACACUCGAACUCCAACCGAGCUCCUCCACCACGCACGGUCGAGCACAAGGAGAAGAGAGAGAGCACUAAAAACAUCUCCUCUCUGAUCUCUCUAUCCUAUAUAGGGGGGAGAAGGGUUGGUGAUACAACCAAGGCAAGAGAAUUACCAAAAAGCCCCUUACCUACCCUGGUGUACCGGUACACGGGCAUUUGUACCGGUACAAAUGGCAACCCGAGAGCAGCUGCGCAGGUUCUGGCAAAGUGUACCGGUACACCUCGAUGGUUGUACCAGUACAGGAAGUGUACCGGUUACAACUCGAUGGUUGUACCGGUACAACAGGCAAAAAACAGCCUAAUUUCAAUUUGCAAUGCUCACACCCUGCUCUCGCGUCGCAAUGAAUCCGUUUAGCGUCUAAUUCGCACCAACGCGACUCAGACUUGUCCCGACACUCUCCAGAGCUGUCGACAAGCCUUAAUAGUAGAACUCCAAGGAUACCACACGAAAGAGGCAGGCCUCGAGCCUGGCGGGAGGCGGCGGCAGAAGAAGAAGAAGAUGAGAGAGAGAAAAAGAAAAGAAAAAGAAAUGGUGCAAAAUUUUUCUAAAUAGUACAACUUUGAUCUAAAGAGUGUAAAAUCUUUGGCCUAAAGAGUGUAAUUUCUAUAUCAAAUAGUACAAUUUUCAUUAAAACUGUGUAAUUUUUUUUUAAAACAGUGUAAUUUUAUUUUAACAGUGCAAUUUUAUCAUCUUAUUUCUUCUUCUAUAUUUUUUGAUCUUUUUUGUAAGAAAAAAUAUUUUUUAUUUUUAUUUUUAUUUUUUAUUAUUCUUAUUUUUUUCUCUAUAAUUUUUUUUUUGUCACCACCUCUUUCUUGCUCUCUAUCGCAACCACCGCGACGUCAUCAGAGACGAUCUCACCACGUCCAACGACGUCGCGGCGUUCCGAUGCGCGGUGGAGGAGAAGAGCCUGUGCCUAGACGUCAUCGUGCCCUAGUGGAGAAGGAGGAUCGCGGCGCGGCCUCAGCAGGGUGGGAGGUGAGGAGGGCGGGGGUGCACGGGCGAGGGCGAUGGCGUGCGGGGGAGAGGCAAGGAGGGUUGUUUCCACCUCCACCUCCGCUGCCUUCUUCGGAGAGAGAAAAAAAGAACGAGAGAAAAAAAAAAGUGGAGAGAGAAAAAGUAAUGAGGGUAUUUUGGUCAGUUUGCUGAAAAUCCGGCCCGAAUCUACAAAAACGAAAUAAGUGGCCCGCAUUUGCAUAGGCGCAAAACUAGUGAAUUUUUUAUGCAAAUUGGCUGUAAGGACUGAGAUUUUUACAGUGCUACUAAACUCUCUGUUGAUGAUGUUUAUGUGUGUAAUCUAAUUAUAUAAACACUCGUCAAGUUACAGAAGAAAAUGAACUAAAAUGGAGAAGAUACGCGAGUUUUAGUUUUCACUUAAGUGAAUAGUAACUCCGGUUUUCCGGAGAAGCCACGGAGUAGAGCUGGCUUUCGGCGCGUAUCGGACUCCGUUCAUAGCGAUCCAAUAGCUAGUUUUGAACGGUUCAGCUAUUCUGGAACCAAUGGCACUGACGGAUUUUAGAUCUGAUGCACGGUUUUCGAGAAAAUCUGAAAAUACAUGUUUCUUAUGUAAUUGUGCAUCAUUUUGGCCUUUUGGAGAGAGAAUGGAUUUCGUCGUGAAUCGGAGAUCAAAUCUGACGAAACGAAAUGCUAGAUUCGAUGCCUCGACGUGCUGAACGCGUUGGCGUGAUCCGAUCGGAAAUCCGAUGGACGGAUCUUUGGGAAUUGCAAUAAGUUCGCUAAGGGGUCGAGAGUGGAAAAUCGGGAAAUUCGCAAAAGUCGUAAUAUUUUAUGUACCGAAUCGCGCGAGAUCGAUUGUGGAGGUGCAAAAGCGCGAGAGUUACCCAUUGUGAGGGACUAGGGUUGAAAUUUGUAGUUCAGGUGGACUUUUGUGCAAUUUGCACAUUGCAUACAAUGUGCAUCUAGGGUUCUUUUGCAAGGAACCCUAGAUCUAGCCGACCUAGUUCCCCAACCGUGCCCUAGAUAGCCCCAGUAGGUCCCUGCCCUACCUGCGCUCGUGCCCAGACCUCCGGCGAGCAACUCCGGCCGCCGGAAAACUCAUGGUCAUCUUCCUCUCCACCCUCUCGGCCUGAGUACACAGGGAAACGCGCGAAGCCCGAGGAUCCUUCACCCUGUGGCAGAGAGUUACCUCCGGCGCCGACCCUCGCCGGCCCCCGCCGUCGGCGCGCGCCGCCGACGCCGCCGGAGCCACCUUGCUCCCUGCGGCCAACCUGCAGUCACCCAGGCCGAGCCUGGGUGAUCUCUGCCUCCGCGCGUCGCCGCCGCCCACCCUCGGUCCCGCCGCCCUCAGCUGGCCUCCGGCGUGCCCCCGCGCGCCAUCGCCGCCGCUCCCGUCGCCGCCGGCCGCCGCUCUCUCUCUCUGCGGCCGCCUUGACCAAGUGCGGGCCGAGCCGGGGCUAGCUCCGCCUCCGCGCGUCGCCGCCGCCCACCGUCAGCCGCGCCGUCAUCCCUCUGCCGUCGGAGACCUCCCGCGUGACUCUCCCGCCGACCCCAGCCGUCCCCGUGGCCGCCGGCCGCCGCUCCCGCUCCCUGUGGCCGCGCAGAGUCUGUGCAGGCCGAGCCACACCCAGCACCGCCGCCGCCGCCUUCCGCCGCCGGCCGGCGUGAGCAUCGGCUCCGCCUGGCCGGCCGCACCCGUCCGCCACCGGCUACCCCGCCGCCGGAGCACCCUGUCAACCGGGAUGAGCUCGAGCUCUCCUCGGGUUGUGCGGCUAGGGCAUCAUCGUCCGCCGCCUCCGCCGCCUCCCGUCGUCGGCCGACGCGCGCCCUGGCCUCCCCGCUCUGGCCUCACCUUCCCUUGGCCGGCUAGCCCACCAUCCGGCCGCCGCCGGCCGUCCCGUGCCUUACCUUGCUCCGGUGAGUUACGUAAUAGCUUUCUGCACCUUGUCUUGGGGUUCCGGUCACUGUUCCGGUGAACGGAGGCCACCCCGAGUCUUCUGAAGGUGAGCACGAUGAUCCUGGUUCAGUGCUGAUCAUCGUGGCCACCUUCAUUGGAGUCUGAGAGCGUCUGAUUUGCGAGAUAAGCGUGUUCUUCUUGCUGUGCGCGCUGUUCGCAGAUUUUCGCGUCACUCCCGCGCUCUCCGCUGUGGCCGAUAUUGCUCCGAAAGAUGAGCACGGCCUCCGGAACGUCGAAAACUGUCAGCGGGUAUUUUGACUCGGCUGAUUGAUCUCUGGUUUGCGUAAACGGACCAUAAAAGCGCCGAAAUCGCAUGAAAUAAUGCGAUUUCGGGUAUUCGGAAGGGCUUUUAUGCAACGUUGUCCGUCGUGGCUGCUGUUGGCAGCAAGUAUGGGCUGAGGAUAACCUUCGGACUGCUUGUCCAAGGCCCCGGACCUUUGCGAAGACCGGAAAUGCAUUUCCGGAGCGUUUUUCGGCGAAAUCCGCCGAUAGAACGCGGUUUCGAUUCGAAUUUCUUCCGACGUCGUUUGGUUGCUCUGUGAGUGGUCGCUAAGCCUUGUUGGCUGGUCACCAUCAUCACUUUGUGGGUUCGGUGAUGACGGGUGAGCGACGGUGGGUUCCGGUGUCGAAUUUGACACUUCCGGGAACCCGUAUUCGUACAAUUAUCCGGCGAUAAUUGUGUCGCGGUGUUUAUCUUAUGUUUGCUGCCAAAACAUCCAAAUUGGAGUGUUUUCUGGCAGCAGAUGACUUGUAGCAUGGGUCGGUGCGUUUCGGGACAUUUCAGUGGUCCCGACGGAGUCCCGGUGCGAUUUUCGGGACUUCCGGCGAGUUACGGUAGUCGGUUUUGGGAAACUGAUCUCCGUGGGUUUGUUAGAGGGAUUAUGAUGUAGUGCUUCUUAGUUGUGGGUUAGACACUAACCCAGUGGAUCCUCCUUAGGUCCUGUUGACGUUCUUUUGCAGUCAGGUGACAGGCGCGACAGUUGUACAGGUGGGUACUUCGAUCCGACGUCGGUACAGUGGUGCACGCUCGGUGAUGGUUUCUUACCCUUGCUCCUUUGUUAUUAUCCAUGCAUACGUUAUAUAUUGAGCUUUGCACCUCUGUUGUUUACAUUACACCCACGUUGUUUGAUUAUACUCUACUCGUUGUUUGCAUGCUUAGUAUCCUGAGUAGGAGUAGAGUAGUUCUAUCCGCAUCCGUAUCGGUUGACCUAGUUGGUCUGUUGAGCAUCCGUAUCUGUUGACCUAGUUGGUCUGUUCUGCAUUCCUCUACUCAGUUAGUUCCAUAUUGAUAUCAUGCUUAGGAGUAGAGUUGACUUAUCGGUUCACUAUAUCUGUGAUUUGGUUGGGCGGUUCCCUUAUUUUGAUAUCUAUGACCUAUUCGGUCGAGUUGCUACAGUUCUAUCUUGACAUACGUAGCCGAUUAGUUGCUGAUGGCCUAUACGGUCGGUGUGCCCUGAGGGGCUGGAUUGUCGGCUAGUUGCCGAUGGAUGAUCUUUGAGCAUACUACAUUGAUCGCCACUGCAGGUACGCAUUUCACGAACACCAGCGGUCUGAUCCACCGCAAGAGGGUGUUCUUUUCCGGAAAAGUGGUUGGAUUGCCAACCCGUGAGCCCAGGGGCUUUAUUGCGAGGGUAUAUGCUUCUGACCCAGGGGCUUCAUUGCGAGGGUCAGGUACUGUGCUUCUGACCCAGGGGCUUCAUUGCGAGGGUCAGGUACAGGUUGAGCAGUGUGGCAUGGGCCUGAGGUCUUCGGACCAAUAGGGCAGCGAGAUUGGGUACUUUUGAGCUUAUCGUCAGUUGACGCAUGCAUACAGUAGCUGUAGUGUUUAUUUUCAGUACAUCCUUAUCUGUUUAUUGUAGCUACUGUUUUAUUUACCUGCAUCUAUACUUGUCAGCUCCUUACUUAUCAGCAUCUUUACUUACCAGCACUUAUGUCUAUCUAGUUCUCCGUGUUGUUGUAUAGCUCUCUUCCUGAUCCGGUGAGUACUCCUCGCCUUCUUCGGCUUGCGGUACCCACUGGGAGGGGAGACAUGUUUACAUGUUCUCACCUCCCCCACCAUUUUUCAGGUAUCGCGGGCGAUGAGUAGUGGGACGAGACGUGAGGUACGUGUGUAGCGGUCGAUAGAGCUUCCGACCCAGGUUAUUUCGAUUUAGUUAUUAUCCUUGGUAUUUCUGUUGAUAUAUAGUUUAGUUGGUUUAUGUGGUUCAGUAUUUAUUUACAUUUGAAAAUGUGGAUUUCUGGAUUUUGUAAAAUAAAAGGUUUUCUACCCCUCGUGGUAGCGUUUUUAAAAGAAUAAAGGUUUCUGUGUAGGAAACGGUUUUCAAAAGAUUUUUGUGGAUUUCUGUUUAAACCUUGAAUGUAAAAACUGUAAUGUGAAUGGUGAAUGUAUGAAUGUAUAGUUAUCUUUAUAUUCAUCUGGUUGUGGUUGUAUCCUGGUUGUACUGUGUAUUUGAUCGACGCCGUGCAAAUACAGGAGAGACUCUGUCCGUGUGAACAGUGGAUUUCCUGUAUUUGUGGCGGAUCUGGCAUACUCUGGGGUCAGGUUUUCAAAAAAAAAAUUUCAGACGCUUUUCCGCUUUGUUUUAAAUUGAAAAGGGAUCCCGGGGCGUGACAUUGGCUUUAAUAUAUCAACCCAUUUUAGUGACAUUUUGCUGCGUAAUUUACUGAUAAUCUCAAUUUCGAAAUCUACUUAAAAUAGUUAUAAAGUGCAGCAAAGUGAUUAAUGUAAUUUUUAAUGCAAAAGAUAAAUAACACACGGCCUACAUUAUAAGGAGGCUUUUGUGUUUAAGUAUUUCUUUUUUCGGAGUAAACUUUAAAUUACCCUCAAUAGUUUAGCUCAUUUUCACUUUGUCACACUGUAAUUUUAAAAGUUACAUUUUGCCUUUAUGUGAUUUAGCAUAUAUUUUUUAUUUUGCCAUCCUGUAAUUAAAAUUUUUUUAUUUUGUCACCAUAUUUCAUAUAGAAUUUUUGAUAAAAUAAAAAUUAAAUCAUAAAAGUAAGUAAAACUUUUUAAAUUACAUGAUGGCAGAGUAAAAAUAAACUAAAUUAUAUGGUGCAAUUUGAAGUUUACUUUCUCUCUCUUUUUUUUUUUGGGAAAACUUCGAAUACCAUUUCUGUGGUUUCGCAUUUUCUCAAUUUAAUACCCUGUGGUUUAAAGUGUAUCAUUUUCGUACACUGUGGUUUUAUUUUUUUUCUUUUUAUUAUUCUCUUUAUUAAUUUUUUUCAUUAAAUCAGUGAUAAAAUUAAAACUAAAAAGUACUAAAGUGAAUAUUCAAUAAACUAUAAGUGAGGUAUCUAAAGUUUUUUUUGUAUAUUAUUUAAUAAAAAGCUAACAAAAGUGCUAACAAAAAGAAAAAAAAUAAAAUUAUAUUGUAUUAAAUUUAUACACUUUAAAUUAUAGGUAAUGAAAUGAGCAAGUGCGAAACCACUGCAGUAGUAUUUGAUGUUUACUUCUUUUCUUUUCUUUUUUCUUUUUUCUUUUUUUUUUUUGUUUUUGCGCUUGUAAUUUCCAUUUUAUCCCUCGACCUCUUUCACCAUUAUACUGCGUACGUACGUCGUAGAGGUAAAAAUCUCUCCCCUUUCCUUUACCCGCCGCAGAUCCCCGAUCCCGCACCGAUCGGGGAUUAGGGUUUCGGCCGAGUCCCCCUUCUUCUACUUCCCCUUCGCCCCAAUUUGUUUCCAAGAGUUUGAGGUAAAUCGAGAUCGGGCACCCAAUUUUGUGUCCAAUUGGUUUAAAUUCCAAAUUCGGUGCUUUUUUCUCUGAUUUUGAUGGUUUUUUUAUCGUUUGGAGAUAAAAAAAUAUCGAAUUUUGGUGGGGGAGAGAGAUGGAGAUGGUGCUUAGAGCGGAGGACGCGAAGGAUUGGGUGUAGAAAGGAGAAGGAGCCGCUAAUCUCAUCCUCAGCUACCGCGGAUCUUCGCCUUCGCUGGUGAUGUGUUGCAUUGAGCUCUUUUUAAUGUUGUUUGUGUUCGAUUUGCUAUGUUAAGUUAUUGUUUGAGUGUUUAGAUGAUACUGUAAUGCUUAAUUUUGUAGAAUGUGCUGUAUUUAUGUGUUGUUUAAUUUGUUUCGUAUAAUCCAUUUGUUGAGAAAAAUAGACAAAGUGUGUGCAAAUAUGUUUGGUAGGGGUUGCAUCUCCCAACAUGAUCGACCAAGUAUAAAAUACCGUUCAUUGUAGCUUAAGCUCUUAAUUAAUUAAUUAAUAUUAAUUGGUUAGGGGAUAGGGAUAGGGAUAGGCCCUUAUCCCCCUUUAUACCCAAAUGCUAAUUUUUUAUCCGAGAACAGUAGUUCUCGGUUACCUAUAAUAACCGGUUAUAACUAUCCCCAUCAACACCUCUAUUUUCUAUAUAAAACUACCUAAUAUUUUUCUUAUUCCAUAUUAUCUAUCCAAACGCUAUUUUUCUUAUCCCCGGGAACAACCCAAUUUUCAUCCAAACGCUAUUUUUCUUAUUUCCAUACUUGUACCUAUCCCUGUAAUAGCUAGUUCUUGCUUUACCCGAACCAAACGGUACCUAACCGAACUAGUUGGAACCAUCUCGAUUCUUAUCCUAAACGAAGUAGUUAGAACGACCUCUGCAACCGAAGUAGUUGGAAUCAUCUCGAUUCUUAUCAUAACCGAAAUAAUUGGAACAACCUCUGCCUUAUGCGCAACGGUUGAAAUUUAUCCGGAUGGUUUGAUCAUCCCGAAUCAUGGCUCUCCAAUUUUUUAGAGGAACCAGUACCUGCUGGAUCUAAAACUGCAAGUGAGGAAACUGAGUCUUUUCAGUUUUCCUUAUGAACCACGUAGCGAUACUUGGCUUUUGACCUUUCCGUCCAACACGGAAGGAUUCACGUUCACCUUGCGUGUCGUUGUGACCUUACAUUCUAAGAUAGUAUUCUUAGCUAGCCGCUCUUUGCGUUUUACCACGAUUUCUUCCACGGAUGGCAGUACUUCUCCGAGCUCAUCGUCCAGUAUUGAUGGCUUGAAGGACUUUAGGUUUUCGACAUUGACGACCGAAUAUAUCUUCCUGUAUGUGGGCAACUCCAAUUAAUAAGCAUUCUCACCAAUUCUGCUUAGAAUCUUAAAAGGUCCAUAAUGAAUAGGUUUAAGUUAAUAAUAUAUUUGAAUAGUUCUGUAUUUUAGUAUGCUUAACAAUUUUCUAUUAUUUGAUAUUUUUUUUAGAUUGUGGGUGGCAAUACUAAUUCCAUUGAUGCAUUUUCUUCAAACCAUCAUCAAUCAUCGAAUGCAGGUUAUUAUCCCAGAAGUGAAGAAAACCAUCGCACUAUUUGAAAUCUUAUCAAUUAGUGAAAAUUCAAAUGUUGACUAUGUUUAAAACUAUUUAAACUUUGUUCUAUUUUGUGUUGCUACUAUUGGAUAUAUAUUAAAUGACGAUAUUGUGUUUUGGAUCAUAUGUUAAAGAAUUGGGUUGUUGCUUGUUGUGUUGCUACUAUUGGAUAUAUAUUGAAUGACAAUAUUGUGUUUUGGAUCAUUUGUUAAAGAAUUAGAUUGUUGCUUGUUGAGAAUUGUUCUAAGUUUUGUGUUAUUAAUCUAUUUUUGGGUAAAUGUUAUAUUAUUUAUUUUUUUGGUGAGAAAUGUAAUAUUUGAUUGUGGUAAUAUUUAUGAUAGUAUGUUUGUUAAUAAUUUAUAAUUUUUUGUUCGUAAAUGUAGAUCAAUAUAAAUAUUAAUAUAAUUUUUUACUAUAUCUAUAAGAUAAAGGUGGUUAAAACCGCCUCUACCAUUGAUUCUUCAUAAUAAUAUUUGUAGAGGUGGUUUAUACCGCCUCUACAGAUUAAAAUUUAUAGAGGCGGUUUGGACCACCUCUAAAGAUAAAUAUUUGUAGAGGCGGUUUAAACUACCUUUAGAUGUUAAAAUUUGUUUAAUAGACCGUGAAUAAAAAAUAUUAAAAAAAUAUUAAAUUAAAAUAUUGCGGCGGUCGAAACCAUCUCUAUAUACCAUCUCUAUAAUAUAGAGGCGCUGUCUACCGGCGGUCUAGAGGCGGCUGCAAAAACCGCCUCUACGGUCGCUAAAAAUCGCCUGUACAAGCGCCUUUUCCUGUAGUGAGAAUAGGAACCCCGGCCAGAGAGAGUUCUAGCCAAGAGCAAACCGAAGAAGUAAAGGCUGGGGCAGACCCUGUGUGGCCAAAUGGCGACUAAUAAGGCUGGUCGAGGUCACUGUUGGCCGAAGGGAGGCCACAGAGGCAGUGGCUGACAAUAGGGGGGGUGGUGCCAGUGUAGUGGGGGCCAAUCUGUCCGCACAAGCCAAAUCUGGCUUCCGAAUAUCUAGGUUCCUAGAAGCCCUCGGUGGUAGGAGGGGCAUUAUAGGAGGUUGCCAGAGGUAGGGAAAAGUAAACCGAGAGGGUGUCGUUAGAGGUUGCCGCAAGAACUCUAGCUCGAGUUUGGGCCAGAUUCUGGCUGGAGAAAAGCUUGGUGGUUACUGAGUAGAGCUGGAUGUAUUGUCGAAGGCCAAGAAGGCCGGUGGUAGCGUGGCGGCGUGGCGGUGGCCCUAGUGUACCCAAGAGAGAAAGAAAAAGAGAGAAUCUAGAUAGAUGGAGAGUGAGAGGAGGAUUACGAUCGAGCUUGCUAGCGGCUAGGGGAUCGGCCAGGGGAAAAUGCCGGCGAUAGGGCAGCAUAGUCUACCCUGAGGAGGCGGCGUUUGUGGGGAGAGGGGAGAGGGAGAGAUAGGGUUUACAAACCCUAAGUACAUAUAUAUAUAUAGAGUAGGUCUUGUGUGCUAUUAGGAGCACGGAGCCCUCCGUGCUCCUAAGCCGUUUUCAAUGAUAGAAUUUUCGAAUCGACGAUCGGCUCCGUUAGACUUGAUCUAGCGUAUUUGAAAUAUCUAGAAAAUAAAUUUUGCAAUUUUUCGAUAUCAUUUACCUAACGAUCGAAAGGGUUCAAAACCAACGGCUGAAAGUAAAAAUCUCAUAAAAAGUGGUGAUAGAAUACUAAAAUUUUCGAUCAAAGAUAUUGAUCUUGCUAUAGAUAGUAUAAAUAAUUUUCUAUCAAAAUUUUAUUUGAUUUGGAUGCUUCUAAACCGUUAAACUUGCAAACGGUAUACAUCAACCAUUAAAAAUUGUUGAUUUUGAUCCCUUUCGAUCGCUAGAAAAAUGAUACCGAAAAAUCACAAAAAUUAUUUUCUAGAUAGUUCAAAUAUACUAGAUCAAGUCUAACGGUACCGAUCGUCGAUUUGGAAGCUCCAUUAUCGAAAACGGCUUAGGAGAACGGAGGCCUCUGUGCUCCUAACAGCACACAAGACCUACUCUCUCUCUCUCUCUCUCUCUCUCUCUCUCUCUCUAUAUAUAUAUAUAUAUAUAUAUAUACACACACACAUACAUACAGAAUUGAGCUAGAAUACUUUUAGAAGCACCGCCACCUUGGUGCUUCUAAGUUUCUAUCCCUUGGAUCUAUUCCUUAAUUAUUAAUAGCCCUUGGAUCAAACAUUAUUCCACCUACCACCAUCAUCCUAACCCUACAUCUCUCCAUCCAAAGGCUAAAAACUCAAAAGCAUCACCUCCAUGGUGCUUUUGAGAGUAUUCUAACUCAACUCUCUCUCUCUCUCUCUCUCUCUCUCUCUCUCUCAUAUAUAUAUAUAUAUAUAUAUAUAUACACACACACACACAUACAUGUAUAUACAUACAUAUACAUACAUAUAUAUACAUACAUAUUGUUACGCCCGGGACCUAGCGGAAGCCUGCUCGGUGCGUGUCCAAACUCGCUAUGUGUCUACAACAUAUAAGGCGUCUACAACAAAACGAUAAAUAAAACGAGAAUAUAACAACAUCUAGUACGAUAUCAAAGCAUGAGUACGACUAAUCUCUAAAAGAUAAGUAGGAAAAUAAAAUUCAACAACUAUACUAAUCCAUAAUGUAUUACAUACAUCUCAAAAAUCCACAUGAAUAAAACUAAAUACAAAAGUGGUGGUCUUUACACAUCGGGUACAAAACGUCUCUCUCUCCAACUAAUACAAAAAGGAGAGAUAACCACCUAGUAGAAUCAUAGGGAAAACCGUUCUCGCCGGAGGCAGCCGAACCGGUGGUGCCGCCACAACCUCCUCCCGAGGCUCAACGAUAGGUGCAACUCGAGAAGUACCGAGAGCAAGGAUGGCGCCCUUGCUGUCGCAUCCUCAACUGGCGCAGGUGGUGGGGGAUCCUGAGUCUCAUUCGUAGGCUCGUAGCUGUCUGCUGAAGCAAUAAAUCCUCAAGUCGCUUCAUCCGCGUUUCUUGUCGGCGAGCCACAUCGACUUGUUGCUGAGUCGCCGCCUCCUGUUGUGCCACCAAAUCUGUAAGGACAGAUAGUUGGGUCCUCAACUCGCGGACCUCACUAGAUCCAGAGGUAGCAUAGGUCUCCACCUCCUCAAAGUUUGCUGCGUUGUCUGCUCCAGCUGACUUAGAGCGAGUUGUUGGCAUUACAACUACAACAAGCAUAACAAGUGCAAGUUAGUUAAAACCCACGCUAUCGCAACCCCACUCGAUGGAAAUAACACCCAAUCAUGCGAAAGUAAUAAAGUGUGCCUCACUACUAAUGUCACGCCCCGGAAUAACACGUUCCCCGGGCGCGCCGACAAAUCCACCGUAUACAAAGGAAUUUUCCCUGUAUACGAAGCGAUAGCUGUAUCUGUAAAUCAAACAAUACUACAAACAGUAGUAUAGAGCUGCUAGGAGAAACAGAAGAAAACCAAACCGAGUUCCAUAUACAUAUACCAGAAUCCAAAAUACAAAGCUACCCGCACUGGCGAGUUAAAGAUAGGUAAGUACAUGAACUCCAACAAAACAACUACCUGCAGUAGGGCACCUCUAGCACGGCUCGUUGGGUAGGGCUCUAACUCGCGACGCCCUUGCCUCGAUCCUGAUCCGCGGACGGUGCAGCAGCCGGAACCUGUGGCUCUGCAAAAACAUAGGUAACAACUGGGCGUGAGAACUACUGUAAAAACAAGUAGUCCUCAGUGGGUACCGCCCAAAACAACAUCGGUCACCCACUAAGUCUACAGAAGGGAGCAAGGAUAGAAGGAAAGCAGGAAGCAUACUCUACCGCUAUCAUCCACUACACUAUCAUGCUCUACACUAACCAACUGUAGGAAAUGUCCAAUCUGACCCAAUCCAAUCGGGACUGUAAGCAUACCCGUCCCCGGGACUGUGAAUACACCCGUCCCUGCCCUGUUGCGACUAUCGGGCUCUAUCCACACUAACUGGUCCGUGGAGAGCAAGUCCAACUGGCAUGAGCGACACCAACACGAAAGCACAUAGCCUGACUCCAGAGUGGCACUCGUGGGCGCUACCCAACCGAGUAUGCAGCGUAUCUCUGUCGAGCUCAAUCAGGCUCCAACUAGCCAAAGUCAAGAGAAUAGGGUCAAAACAGGUCUACAAACCAAACCCAUGUGCCCUCGGCACAAUCAGUGACCAAAACAAGAAUCUGGGUUCACCGCUAACCCGAACGGCACCUAACGACCCGAAACAGCCUAAACUUUGCUGAAAAAUAAGCUCGGCAUCCCAGCACGAGCGUAAAUGCCUUCUAAACUACCCCGGGUAUCCAUCGCACUGAUGCUGUAACGAUACAAUCGAAUCACGGCUCCUAGAGCUAAAUCUGGUAGUUUAAGCAUAUGACGGGUCAAAACGCAGGUUUUCUCCUAAGUCAAAUUUCAAGUCCAACAUGUAUAAUAUAAAUAUUCAUUUCAGCAUGCUUCUACAUUCAUAUUAUAUUCAAGAUGCUAAUCGAUGAAUUAAAGCAUGAUAUACAAAAAUCGAACUAUACACGUCGACUAAACAUGCACUUAGGAGCGAAACCGACGAUACACCCACCUCUAGUGAAAUUCCUGGCAGCAAGAGGGUCUCGGAUCAUAAGCAACACUGCUGGAAACACCUCCAAACCAGCAACAAGUCCCCCCAAAAUCUGGACAUUACAAUUCACCCAAAAAUCCAACAAAACCAUCAAUUUACCAAAAAUUUCAGCACUUAAGCUUAAUUAUCUCAAUUCCAAUAUCAAAACUCACCUAAUGAUAUCCAAUUCGGGUAAGAACAGAUCCAAAUCCAGCAAAUACUGAUGGGUGAUCAGUCUCAGGUCCAAGAUCCCACUGCCUACAAGGUUAGCAUCAAGAAAAGCUCAAACUCCUAAUUUUCAGCUCAAAGUCAACAGCAGUCCAGAAAAACCUCAGUUCGACCAAGCUAACCUCAUCCAAAAUCUGCAAUUCAGGCCUUCGUGGAUUCCUCUGGAAGUCUAAAAUCCAGAAAACCAACUUUCGUCGAAUUCCGACCUUCCUACGUCGCGCACGAGCCAAAAUACUAGAGGUCGUUGCUGAAGAACUGCAGAAUCAGCACCUUGAAAUUCUUGGAGAUGUGGAUCUUGAUGCAAAAUGGAAAGAUUGGAGGAAUUAGGGAUGUAAAAUCUAAGUCCUCUGUGAAGAACAGGUAAAAGAGCUCAAUGGGGACGUAUACCAGGUAUCUAUAGGCUGCUGGAGGGAUAAAAUAAGCCCCAGGAAAAACAGCUGCUAUCCAGUGUUCCUGCAGAAACGGGCGUUUCUGGGCGCCCGGAACCAUGUUCUGGGCGACCAGAACAUCCCGACUGCACAAAACGGGCUCCUCGGACUCUCCGCUCGCGGUGUGCUGCGCCCGUAAAUGGCUCCGGCGGAACUCACCUACCGCCCUGCCACGCGUCGAAGCAAGCGAUAUUCACGAUGUCGAAUUUCCGGACCCACAUCUGGGCGCCCGGAACAUGGGAUCCGAAUUGGCUUCCAGUUUUAGUUAAAUUCAACACUCAGUUCUGGGCGACCCUAAAAAUGUUCUGGGCGCCCAAAUCUGGCAAAACUCCAAUUUUGCUUAUUUGAGUGCGUCGAGUCCAAUUCUGCAUUCAAUUCGUGCGAAAUUGACUCCGACUCAGUCCGACACUCUCCAGAGAUGUCGACCAGUCACUAAUACUGAAGCCAAUCCUAUCCAAAACUCAGGAACACUACAUCUUCCCCCACUAAAAAAAGUUUCGUCCGCAAAACUGAACACAUACCUCAAUCUAGAGCCUCAAAUAGGUAGGGGUAGGACUCCCUCAUCACCGUCUCCGGCUCCCAAGUCGCUUCCUGCUCCUCGUGAUUACUCCACUGCACCUUUACAAAGGGUAUGACUCAGUUGCGCAAUUUCCUCGACUCACGAGCCAGAAUCCGCACCGGUCGCUCCUCGUAACUCAGGUCCUCGCCAAUCUCAAGCGGAGUGAAGUAAAUCACGUAGGAGGGGUCGAACACAUAUUUCCUCAAAGCCGAGACGUGGAAAACAUCAUGAAUGCCGGCUAGCCGUGGUGGUAGAGCAAUCCUGUAAGCAACUGGCCCGACUCGCUCCAAUACCUCGAAAGGGCCUACAAAACGUGGACUGAGCUUUCCACGUACUCCAAAUCGGCGAAUCCCUCGGGACGGCGAGACUUUAAGAAAAACAUGAUCUCCUACCUGGAACUCCAAGUCUCGUCUCCGGGUAUCAGCAUAGCUACUAUGUCGACUCUGGGCUGCUAACAUGUGCCGUCGCGCCUCCUUUACCUUUUCCUCAACCUCAAUCAGAAUCUCAGGCCCAAGCGUCCUCCUCUCACCCACAUCACUCCAAAACAAAGGGGAUCGACAUCUUCGUCCAUACAACGCCUCAAACGGAGCCAUCUGGAUGCUCGCUUGAUAGCUGUUGUUGUACGCAAACUCAACCAGUCUCAAAUGCCGAUACCACCCUCCUCCAAAGUCCAAGACACAUGCCCUCAGCAUGUCCUCUAGAGUCUGAAUGGUCCGCUCUGACUGACCAUCUGUCUGUGGGUGAAAUGCUGUGCUGAACUGCAACUGAGUGCCCAAGGCCGUCUGAAGACUCCUCCAGAAGUGCGAUACGAACCUCGGGUCCCGGUCGGAUACUAUCGAAGUGGGCACGCCAUGCAACCUCACUAUCUCAUCCAAAUACAACUGAGCGAGUCUCUCUCUGGACCAAGUGGUCUGCACUGGUAGGAAGUGAGCAGACUUGGUCAGUCUGUCCACUAUCACCCAAAUCGCAUCAAAACCACCCUGUGCUCUCGGCAAUCCGACGACAAAGUCCAUCGUGAUCUGCUCCCAUUUCCACUCGGGCACUGGUAGACUCUGAAGCUUGCCAGCAGGUACCUGAUGCUCGGCCUUUACCUGUUGACAAGUCAGACACUGAGCCACAAAUCUACCAAUGUCCCUCUUCAUUCCAUUCCACCAAAACUGAGCCUUUAAAUCCUUAUACAUUUUGGUUCCACCGGGGUGAACCGUAUAAGGUGAACAGUGAGCCUCUCUCAAGAUGUCCUCUCGGAUCUCUGAAUCCAUAGGUACACACAGUCGGUCCCUGUACCGCAGUACUCCCGAACUGUCCACAACAAAGCCCUCAGCCUGUCCCCUCUCAAGCUGCUCUCGAAUCCUCGACAAGUGUGGAUCCCCACUCUGUUUCUCUCGAAUCCUAUCUAACAGAGUGGGCUGCAAGAUCAUAGACAUCAAUCUCGCAGUAAAUCCAGGGGACACUACCUCGAGUCCCAGCCGUCUCAGCUCCUCGAGUAACGGUCUCUGCCGAGUGAUCAACAUACUCAAGCUCUGCACUGCCUUCCUGCUCAACGCAUCUGCCACCACAUUCGCCUUGCCGGGAUGAUACUGGAUACUGAUGUCAUAAUCCUUCAGCAACUCCAACCACCGGCGCUGUCUCAAAUUCAACUCCUUUUGGGUGAACAGAUACUUGAGACUUUUAUGAUCAGUAAAAAUCUCGCAGUGCUCGCCGUACAAGUAAUGCCGCCAGAGCUUCAAAGCAAAAACCACCGCGGCAAGCUCCAAGUCAUGCGUAGGGUAAUUCUUCUCAUAAUCCUUUAACUGCCGUGAAGCAUAAGCAAUCACCCUACCAUGCUGCAUCAGCACGCAACCAAGUCCACUGUGCGAUGCAUCACUGUAGAUCACAAAUCCUUCGCCCAUAACAGGAAGGGCAAGGAUAGGAGCCGACAUCAACCUCAAUCUCAACUCGUCAAAGCUCCUCUGACAGUCGUCGCUCCAGACAAAACGAAUCCCCUUCCGCGUCAAGCGCGUGAGGGGUGUGGAAAGCUUCGCAAAGCCUUCCACAAACCGACGGUAAUAUCCUGCCAGUCCCAGGAAGCUCCGUACCUCAGUCACCGUCGUCGGUCUAGGCCAAUCUCGAAUCGCCUCAAUCUUCUUCGGGUCCACUGCUACGCCCUCAGCUGAAAUCACGUGGCCCAAGAAAGCAACCUCCCGUAGCCAGAACUCGCACUUCUUUAACUUGGCAUACAACUUCUUCUCGCGCAGAAGCUGUAGCACAAUCCUCAAGUGCUCCUCAUGCUCAGCAUCACUCCGGGAGUAAAUCAGGAUAUCGUCGAUGAAGACUACCACAAACCUAUCCAAGAACGGCUUGAACACUCUGUUCAUCAAAUCCAUGAAUGCGGCAGGGGCAUUCGUCAAUCCAAAAGGCAUCACCGUGAACUCAUAAUGCCCGUACCGAGUCCGAAAAGCCGUCUUGGGAACAUCCUCGGCCCUCACCCUCAGCUGGUGGUAACCUGACUGGAGAUCAAUCUUCGAAAAGACACAAGAUCCUUGCAGCUGAUCGAAUAGAUCAUCAAUGCGCGGCAGAGGAUACUUGUUCUUGAUGGUCACUUUAUUCAGCUCCCGGUAAUCCACACAUAACCUGAGCGAACCAUCCUUCUUCUUUACAAAUAACACCGGCGCUCCCCAAGGCGACACACUGGGUCUCACAAACCCUCUAUCCAUCAGAUCCUGAAGUUGCGCCUUUAGCUCUCUCAGCUCUGCCGGUGCCAUCCUGUAAGGUACCUUUGAGAUUGGUGCAGUUCCAGGAACUACAUCAAUCACAAACUCAAUCUCCCUCUCCGGCGGCAACGUCGUCAACUCAGGGGGAAACACAUCCGGAAACUCGCGGACUACUGGGAUGUCCUCGAGUCUCGGCGCCGCCGUAGGUACCUCCACAACUGUCGCUAGGAAAGCGAUACACCCACUGCUCAGCAUCUGUCGAGCCCUCGCCGAAGAUAUCCAGGUGGCAAACAGCGUGCUCCUGCAGCCUCUGAAAGUAAACUCCUCCUGGCCUGGCUCGCGGAACGUCACCGUCCUCGCUCCACAGUCGAUCGUAGCAUAGUACCGCGCCAGCCAAUCCAUACCGAGCACUACGUCGAAGUCCUGCAGCUGCCCUAACACCAACAGGUCUGCGGGCAUGAUCCAAGAGUCUAACUGCACCGGACAGGACCAACAACACUCUGUAACCUGCAAGACAUGGUCGGGGAUCUGCACCUCUCGUGCCUGAGACAACGCUCCUAACUCUAGACCAUGCAACAAUGCAAAUGCUCGGCUAACAAAGGAAUGCGAUGCACCGGUAUCAAAAAGAGUGCGAACUCUAAUGCCAGAAAUCAAAGUGAUACCUGCCACCACUCGGUCGGCUGCUGAAGAGUCCUCCACCUGAGCUGCAUAGACCCUGCCACUCGGAGCCUGCUGUCGCCGCUCACUCGACCGCGGCACAGACGAUCUGUCCUCCUGGCGGUAGCUCGGUGCUGCUCCGUAAGACUGCUGUGGUGCUGGUGGUGCCGAAGCUGAUGACGGUGCUGGAGAUGCUGCUCGGGGACAAGCUGCCCUCAUGUGUCCCGGCUGACCACAUCCGUAGCACCUGCCCUCUCUCUGCUCGCACUGCCGAGGCCAGUGUGGUCCCCCGCAGAUCACACACUGUGGCGUCCUCUGAGUCUGCCCCUGCUGACGGGAUCCCCUGGAACGCUGACGCCCCGAAGACCCACGACCCUGAGAACGUGAUCGUGGAGGUCUCGGCGGACGUCUGCUGCUCGACUGCCCUCCGUCAUCUGGAAAGGGGCGCUUCCUGUCCUGACCCUGCCCCACGGCCUGAGUCCUCUCCUGCAGCGACACCUCACCUCUCUCCACCCAUAGGGCCUGCUCUAUGGACGCAUCCAGGGUCCUCGACCUCUGCGCCCGCACUAACCUGAAGAUGUCCGGUCUCAGCCCCUGCUCGAACAUGUAUACUCUGUGCGCCUCGUCUCUGGCCGCAAAUGGUACACAGUUCAGGAGUCGAGUAAACUCCCGAACGUACUCCUGCACUGGGCGAUCUCCCUGCUGAAGCCUCCUCAAAUCCUCCUCGAGCUUCUGCUUCACACUGUUGGGAAAGAACAUCCCAAACAGCAUUCCACAGAACUCAUCCCAACUCAGCUGCGCCGCCACUAGCCCCUGGUCUCGCCUCGUUCUCCGCCACCAGUCAUGAGCAUCACCUGCUAGACAGUGUACUCCCAGGGGUACCUGCUCCCCCUCUGGAACGAACAGAUCCUCGAAUAACUUCUCCAUCGCACUGACCCAUCCCUCAACAAUCCAGGCCUCAGUGCCUCUGCCAUCGAAGAUCGGUGGAUCAAAUCGGCGAAAACGAGCUAACCUCUCCGUCCACCGCUCCUGCUCGGCCUCAGUCAACGGUACUGGCCCCCUAGCAGGCGCAACUGGCGCUACUGGAACUGCUGCCGAUGGAGGAACUGCUGCAGCUGGUGCUGUCACUGGAGUAGUCGGGGGUGGAACUGGCGACUCUGGUGCCCUCGGUACAGAACUCGGUGGCUGAGCUAUCCUCUCACACAACCUCUGCAAUAGCUCCCCCUGCUGUCUCGUCACCUCAGUCAGGGCAGCCAACUGUGCACUCAAAUCUGGGGAUGCACUCGCCUCCGGUCGGGCCCUCUGCUCUACAACUGGGGGUGCACUCGCCUCUGCCUGCUCAGGCAUCUCGGGAGAUCUAGCACGAUCCUGCGCCAACUGCGCACGCUCCCGCAACGACGGUCGGCCUCGGCGACGAUACAUAGCUGAAAGGAACAAAUCGGGGUCAGAUACAACGCAACACUCUCGACCCAAUCAACGAAAGUCUAGAAGGCGGUCCCUGUUUUCCUCCAAAAUUAUGUCGUCUGCAGCCAACAUAAUUUCUCAGGCCAAAACAGAAACUCCUUCAGUCACUCACUCUACUCUAAGAGGAGUUAAAACAAAUAAUCAUUGACUUUCGCAAUAAAAUUACGCCUCUCACGUCUUGCUUCCCUAAGGUUUGCCAAACUUAGGUUUCCUAGGUCCCCACGACCUACAGCAAAGCUCUGAUACCAACUUAAUCUGUCACGCCCCGGAUUACACGUUCCCCGGGCACGCCGACAAAUCCGCCGUAUACAAAGAAAUUUUCCCUGUAUACGAAGCGAUAGCUGUACCUGUAAAUCAAACACUACUACGAACAGUAGUAGAGAGCUGCUAGAGAAAACAGAAGCUAAAUAAAACAGAGUUUCAUAUACAUAGUUCAGAUCCAAAAUACAGAGCUACUCGCACUGGCGAGUUAAGUCAACUAUGUACAUAAACUCGAAACAAAACAUCUACCUGCAGUAGGGCACCUCUAGCUCAGCACGUCGGGUAGGGCUCUAACUCGCGACGCCCUUGCCUCGAUCCUGGUCCGCAGACGGUGCAGCAGCCGGAACCUGUGGCUCUGCAAAAACAUAGGUAACAACUGGGCGUGAGAACUACUGUAAAAACAAGUAGUCCUCAGUGGGUACCGCCCAAAACAACAUCGGUCACCCACUAAGUCUACAGAAGGGAGCAAGGAUAGAAGGAAAGCAGGAAGCAUACUCUACCGCUAUCAUCCACUACACUAUCAUGCUCUACACUAACCAACUGUAGGAAAUGUCAAAUCUGACCCAAUCCAAUCGGGACUGUAAGCAUACCCGUCCCCGGGACUGUGAAUACACCCGUCCCUGCCCCGUUGCGACUAUCAGGCUCUAUCCACACUAACUGGUCCGUGGAGAGCAAGUCCAACUGGCAUGAGCGACACCAACGCAAAAGCACAAGCCUGACUCCGGAGUGGCACUCGUGGGCGCUACCCAACCGAGUAUGCAGCGUAUCUCUGUCGAGCUCAAUCAGGCUCCAACUAGCCAAAGUCAAGUGAACAGGGUCAAAACAGGUCUACAAACCAAACCCACGUGCCCUCGACACAAUCAGUGACCAAAACAAGAAUCUGGGUCCACCGCUAACCCGAACGGCACCCAACGACCCGAAACAGCCUAAACUUCGCUGAAAAAUAAGCUCGGCAUCCCAGCACGAGCGUAAAUGCCUUCUAAACUACCCCAGGUAUCCAUCGCACUGAUGCUGCAACGAUACAAUCGAAUCACGGCUCCUAAAGCUAAAUCUGGUAGUUUAAGCAUAUGACGGGUCAAAACGCAGGUUUUCUCCUAAGUCAAAUUUCAAGUCCAACAUGUAUAAUAUAAAUAUUCAUUUCAGCAUGCUUCUACAUUCAUAUUAUAUUCAAGAUGCUAAUCGAUGAAUUAAAGCAUGAUAUACAAAAAUCGAACUAUACACGUCGACUAAACAUGCACUUAGGAGUGAAACCGAUGAUACACUCACCUCUAGUGAAAUUCCUGGCAGCAAGAGGGUCUCGGAUCAUAAGCAACACUGCUGGAAACACCUCCAAACUAGUAACAAGUCCCCCCAAAAUCUGGACAUUACAAUUCACCUAAAAAUCCAACAAAACCAUCAAUUUACCAAAAAAUUCGGCACUUAAGCUUAAUUAUCUCAAUUCCAAUGUCAAAACUCACCUAAUGAUCUCCAAUUCGGGUGAGAACAGAUCCAAAUCCAGCAAAUACUGAUGGGUGAUCAGUCUCAGGUCCAAGAUCCUACUGCCUACAAGGUUAGCAUCAAGAAAAGCUCAAAAUCCCAAUUUUCAGCUCAAAGUCAACAGCAGUCCAGAAAAAUCACAGUUCGACCAAUCUAACCUUAUCGAAAAUCUGCAAUUCAGGGCUUCGUGGAUUCCUCUAGAAGUCUAGAAUCCAGCAAACCAAGUUUCGUCGAAUUCCGACCUUCCUACGUCGCGCACGAGCCAAAAUACUGGAGGUCGUCGCUGAAGAACUGCAGAAUCAGCACCUUGAAAUUCUUGGAGAUGUGGAUCUUGAUGCAAAAUGGAAAGAUUGGAGGGAUUAGGGAUGUAAAAUCUAAGUCCUCUGUGAAGAACGGGUAAAAGAGCUCAAUGGGGACGUAUACCAGGUAUUUAUAGGCUGCUGGAGGGAUAAAAUAAGCCCCAGGAAAAACAGCUGCUAUCCAGUGUUCCUGCAGAAACGGGCGUUUCUGGGCGCCCGGAACCAUGUUCUGGGCGACCAAAACAUCCCGACUGCACAAAACGGGCUCCUCGGACUCUCCGCUCGCGGUGUGCUGCGCCCGUAAAUGGCUCCGGCGGAACUCACCUACCACCCUGCCACGCGUCGAAGCAAGCGAUAUUCACGAUAUCGAAUUUCCGGACCCACAUCUGGGCGCCCGGAACAUGGGAUCCGAAUUGGUUUCCAGUUUCAGUUAAAUUCAACACUCAAUUCUGGGCGACCCUAAAAAUGUUCUGGGCGCCCAAAUCUGGCAAAACUCCAGUUUUGCUUAUUUUAGUGCGUCGAGUCCAAUUCUGCAUCCAAUUCGUGCGGAAUUGACUCCGACUCAGUCCGACACUCUCUAGAGAUGUCGACCAGUCACUAAUACUGAAGCCAAUCAUAUCCAAAACUCAGGAACACUACAACUAACUCCCGAUGUUACGUUGUCGGCCGCCAACGUAAUCCUCCGUGAAGUUAGAAGUUGCACAUUUCGAUUAAACUCCAACAUUUUAGAGUUAAUUAAAAAUCCAAUCAUAAUACUUUCGUUCACAAGUCAAAUAGACCCUGUCUCUCACGAGCCUAUUUCCUAUAGUCCAACCAGCCUAAGGUUUGCUAGAUCCACUAAUACUCAACCCUAGGCUCUGAUACCAAUAUAAUCUAUCACGUCCGGGACCCAGCGGAAGCCCGCCCAAUGCAUAUCUAGACCCGCCAUAUGUCUACAACAUAUAAGGCGUCUACAACAAAACGAUAAAUAAAACGAGAAUAUAACAACAUCUAGUACGAUAUCAGAGCAUGAGUACGACUAAUCUCUAAAAAUAAGUAGGAAAAUAAAAUUCAACAACUAUACUAAUCCUUAUUGUAUUACAUACAUCUCAAAAAUCCACAUGAAUAAAACUAAAUACAAAAGUGGUGGUCUCUACACAUCGGGUGCAAAACGUCUCUCUCUCUCCAACAAAUACAAAAAGGAGAGAUAACCACCGAAUAGAAUCACCGAGCUAUCUAGCUAGAUGCGACCCCCUUGCCGUGAUCCCUAGCCUCUCUCGGCGUGGAUGGCUCUGUAAACAAAAAUAUCAAUAAUAUAGGAAUGAGAACUAUUAGUCAAUAGUUCCAAAUGGGUAAACCGCCGAUAUCAGCGAAAUACACCACUAAGUCAUGGAGGCAUGAGUAGUAUGAAUAUAACUGAAUAAUCAACAUGAAUAUUGAGCAAGUAAUAAGAUUUACUAAACUACUAUAUCUCUACUUAGCAUAAAGUUUCACCAUUAUUAGAGCUAUUCUAAUGAAUGAGCAUGUCCAAUGAGUUCAACUAAUAUACACUAUCUAGUAGUGAUUGUCACAUUAUUCCUUUAAAUGUCAUUGUUCAAUUCCAAUUGGGACCUACACAAGUGUAGUCCGGCUUGUGCCGCCUAAUGGUCUCGUGAUAGUCAACAUUUUCUCCUCUAGGAAUGAGCCUUUCCCACGGCAACCCAGUAGGCACCCAAUCCCGCACGGGCAAGCUUAUGUUGUGUAGGCCAACUCCGGAGUGCCGGCUUGUAGGGAGCAACCCUCACAAGUAUGUGCGAAAGAGCACAAUGGCAAAUAAGCAUGAUCAUCCCAAUCAAGUUCUUGGUCAUCAUGUCUAAAACAUGAUACAAGUACUAACGACCCAUAUGUCGAUCUCUAUGUCAUAAUGUAAAGGUUUAACCGUUUACUAAGUCAAGUGUCACUAUAUGACAUUAAUGUUCACUAUGUCAAGCAUAAGUCAUUUGUCCAUGAGUAUGUAAAAUUUGUCAUUUCACUAAAUAAAACAUGAUUUCUAGCAAGGUAUAAAGAGUGUCAUUCCACAUACAAGUUUACGAUGCAUUUCUCUCUCUACUACAUAGAGGCUACAAAGCAUAACAUAUAACAUGUAUAUAUUAGGCAUUCAAAAAUUUAUUUAUACUCUAUCUAGCAUGAAUAUGCAUGAUUUUUUAUUUUACAAUAAAAAUAAUGACAUAGGAGGAGUUCACCCAUUUCGGUGAGGUCGAACCCACCGGAUACCCCUCGAAACCCUUUUGUUUGCGCGAACGGAAUUGCCCACUAGUCUUCUAUCUCCCUAACAAAAAUUUCAAGAGGGUUAGGGGUUUCAAACAAACACCCCAUGAAAUCCUUAAAAAUCAACCCACAAGUAGGUAGAAAACACCUUGUAUGGUUAAGAACUCUCCCAAAGUUCCAAUGAGAGCUAGACCACUUCAAUUCCAACCUAAAGGAAGGUAUUGGAACCAACAAUUUAGUCUCAUAGACUCUACCAAGAGAACCCCCAAAACAAAACCCUAGUUUUCCAAAACUAGGUUUACAUCCCAAAAACCCAUCAAAGCACAAUCCAAAGGAGUAAUCAAAGCUACUAACCUUAUAUAAAGUCCCAAACCAAGCUAGAUAAGUGCUAGGGUUGGAGAUCUUUCCUCAACAAAGCUCUAAUCUUCCCUCCAAAGCUUCUCCAAAGUCCAAGUAUCAACACCCAUGAAGAAGAAGAAGAAGAAAAAGGAGAUCAAUCUACAAGAUCUCUAGCAAAAAGGAGAGAAAAUCAAGAGAGAUGGAGAGGAGAGGUUUAUCUCACUUCUCCUCUGGUUCCAGCACAAAAGAACCCCUCAUGGGGGUAUGAGGGAUUAUAUAGAGAUGUAACAAUCCCAAAAAGACCCCUAAAAAAUAAUCAGUCUGCAAACAACACUGCGUACCAGUAGGCGGGCAGGAGUACCAGUACCUGGCAACCGAACGCGCAAACCCGAGCCUCUGUCAAGCGAGCAGCUCGCAGUGUACCGAUACCCGUCCGAUGCAGUACCGGUACUAGGCUCCAGUACCGAUACUCGGCGGAGUCAGUACCGAUACUCAGCCUCCCAGAGCUCAAACCCGAGAGCACCCCUCUCAGUUACGCGACGGGGUUCUGGUACCUCUCUGUGGUACCAGUACCCAGCACCCCAAAACCUGCAGUUUGCAAAUUUUGGUGCUAAGUACCCACUCUCGCUUCUCAAGACAUGAGUAAAUAGAUUGGAAUACCGUCCACGACCCUCGAACACUCCAAGAAUAGUACUAAAUAGUAUUCAGGGACGAAACUUUCUUUAAGGAGGGGAUAAUGUGAGGACUGAGAAUUUUGCUGUGUAGUUAAACUCUAUGUUGACAAUAUUUUUGUGUGUAUUUUAAUUAUAUAAUCACUCGUCAAGUUUCGAGAAAAAACGAGUUAGGAUGGAGAUUUUACACGAUCUUAACUUUUCACUUAAAGUGAAUAGUAACUCAGGUUUUCUGAGAGGCCAAUGAGAAAAGAUGGCUUAUGGCGUGUAUCAAACUCUGUUCAAGGUGAUCCAAUAGCUCGUUUUCAAUGAUCCGACUAUCCUGGAUCCAAUGGCACUGAAGGAUUUUGGUUUUGAUGCACGAUUUUUGAGAAAAUUAGAUUUUAUCACAAAGAGGGUUUUUGUUCUUUAUCAUUUUUGCUUUUUAAAAUUUCUCGUUGCUCCGUUUUGCAUGUCGACCCUUGGGCGAGGACCCUUCUACGAGAAAAUGUUUACGUCAAGGGACUUUGGUUGCAUUUUCACUAAUUGGAGGGUCUUGGAGGCAAUUAUUAGGUAUAUAUAUUUAUACUUUUGUGUGAUUUUGGAGAAUCGAAGAGAUAAUGGAUUUUACCACGACUCGGUGACCAAUUCGAACAAGGCAAAAUUGUGGGUUUGAUGUCUCGGUCGUGUUGAACGCGCUGGUGCAAUUCAUUCGUAAAUCUGACGGACGGAUCUCUUGAUAUCGCGCGGGGAUCGAGGAGGGGUCAUAAGUGGUGAAACGAAAAUUUUGUGAAUAGCCCUACAUUUUAUGGAGUCUAUGUACUAUCCUAUUAAUAGGAUUGAGGACAUUGUCCUAUCAAGUCGCUUUGAAUGAUCGGAACUUCAAAUUGAUAAUCGACACUGUUGAAAUUGAUCUACACAAUUAGAAAUGUUUAGAAAACAAAUUUUGUAAUAUUUAAAAAUCAUUAUCAAGUUCAUCGAAAAGUUGAAAAAUGAACAGUCAUAAACGAAUAACCUUCUUAAAAUAGAGGUUAGACUUUCUCAAUUCAUAAUCAGAGUUAUCAAACAUUAUCUAAAUAGUACAAAGAAUUUUCUAUCAAAACUUCAAGCAACUUGGAUUGCUCUACACCGUUAAACAAGCAAACGGCUCAUAUAGGCCGUAAAAAAUUGUCAAUUUUACGACACUUUGAUCACCAUGUAAAUCAUUUUUAAAAUUUAUGAAAUUUAGUUUCUAAAUAUUUCAAAUACUCUAGAUCAACUUCAACGGCUCCAAUCAUUGAUUCGAAAUCUCGAUCAUCAAGAACAACUUGAUAGGACAAGUGCUACUAUCCUCUUAAGAGAAUAGUAGCCUAGCCACAUUUUAUAUAUCGAUUUGUGUGAAAUCGAACAUAGAGAUAUGUGUACGCUUUUUACACGUGCUGUGGAUGGCCUAGUUGUAAAUUUGCAAAGACGAUGGUGUUUCCUGCAUCUUUACACCUUGAUAUAUAAUAGGUCAUCUAGGGUUUGCAUGGUGCAAACCCUAACCCUAUCUUCAUCUGAACCCCCAGCCGCCUCUCCUCCCUUACCCUCGUGCGCCGCGCGCCUCCCGGCCACCGCCGACCAAACCCCGGCUGGCUAGCUGCCGCCACUGCCACCUUCUCCUUCCUCUCCAUCUCCUCCACCACCUUCCUCUAUAUCUUUCUUGGCCGAGGAGUGUGCAUGGUGGUUCCUCCCCUCAGGCCCCUCUCCGGCGACACCCCUUGGAGCUCCAGCGACCCUCUCCACUCACCGCCGUCAUCCCCGAGCGUCGCCGCCGCCAUCACUGCAGCUUGUGGCCAGUUUUAGGUUGGUGCAGCCGAGUUUUGCCGCGUCGCCUCCCCAGUAGCCGACGACCGCCCCUGUCCCUUCCCCUAGGUCCCAGAGGAGACUCACGCCCCUCUCCUGGCUACUCCGACCUCCGCCAUGGCCGUAGAAGGGGGGAGCCAGAUCUGAGUUGUGUAGGCUCAGGUUGCUCCAGCGCUGCUGCUGGCACCUCCCGCCGCCGACUAGCGCGAGCCCCGGCUUACCCCUGUCGGUGGCAUCCCCCUGUCGCUGGGGCGCCCAACGCUGUGCUGCCGCCGGCCGUGCUCGGGUCUCCCUGUCCUGUACUGGCCCGGUUAGGCUGUUUCCAGUCCAUUCUAGGAUUUUCUUCACUGUUCCGGCGACCCAAGACCUCCUCGCUGCCUCCGAAGGUGAGCACAGUGAUCCCCGGUCAGUGUUGAUCACAGUGAUCCCCGGUCAGUGUUGAUCACGGUGCUCACCUUAUUCGAGGUCUACGAGGAUUGGAUCUGCGGGUUCGGCUUGAUUUACUCCUCGUGCGCGUUGUUCGUUGAGGUUCAGCUCGCUCCCACGCUUCCUACAGUGACCCGCGGUGCUCCGAACAACGAGCACGGCCUUCGCCUAGUCGAUACCCGUCAGCCUGUGUCUCGGCUGACCUUGAAAAUCAUCGGUUUGCAGUAAAGAGCCAUCUAACCUCACUUUUUACAUAAAAUAAUAGAAUUUGCUUGAAAUAUUGGGGGCUUUUAUGCAAAAUUGAGAGAUUUUUUAUUUUAAUUUGGCUAAAUUACAGAAAACCCCGCUGUCAAAACCCGAUUUUUCACUUUCCCAUCCUGUCAUUUAAAAACCUAUACUUUGCCCCCUUAUAAAAUGAAAAAUAUGCACUUCACCCCCUACCGUUAGAGAUCCAUUAGGGUUCCGUUAUAAAAUACUUUUUUAUGCCAAAAAUACCCCUCCGCCCUCUUCCCUGUUGCUUCGCCUCCCUUCGGCUCGCCGUCUCACCGCCUCGCCCUCCUCCACUGCCUUGUCCUCACCCUCGCCCACAUCCCCUUCGCACUCCUCCGCCGCCUCGCCUUUGCCCUCGCUGCCCUUGCCUACCUCUCCAUCAGCGCUCACCUCGAUUUCCUCCCUACUAUCACCGAAAUCGAGGGACGGCGAGGGUGCAGGAGGAGAAGGGAAGCAGGUGGAGAAGAAAAUGGAGAGAAAUCGCGGCCGAUCGAGGUGUGAAUCGCAGCCGAUCAAGGCGGCGGUUGAGGAAGAUGAGGGAGGAGACGAAAAUAGUGAGGGUCAAAAUGGUCAUUUUACACACUGUACUCCCCCUGUGAAUAUUUUUCAUUUUACAAGGAGGCAAAGUGUAGGUUUUUAAAUGACAGGGGGGGGAAAAUGAAAAAUCGGAUUCUGACUGGGGGAUUAUGUAAUUUAGCCUUUUAAUUUUAUAGGAUUUUGAAUUUUGGGUUUAGCCUUUUAGAGUUUAGAAUCAUAAGGUUUAGGAUUUAGGAUUUUAGAAUUUUUUUUUUUUUUUUAAUUUUUUAGUGCAGCACUCUCAAACCUAAAAUUCUAAAAUCAUAAAAACUAAAUUCCUAAAUUCUAAACCAUAAACGCUAAAUUCUAAAUCUUAAAAUCCUAAAUUCUAUUCCCUAAAUUCUAAAAAAUUAAAGUGAAUAAGUUAAAAGUGUAUGGCGUACCUGCGACUAAUGACUUCCGCUGUUUUUCUAAUAUCACUAAAGCAGUAGACGACACUACAAAAAAAAUUAUUUUAGACGACGCUUUAUUCUAACGCCUUCAAUAUUUGGCAUGUGCCAAUACCAUGAUUAAGCGUCACCAAUAAACAUAUUUUUAUCAAAUAUUGAUAAAAAAAUUUCGAUGCUAUAUUAAAGCGCCGGUAUAUUUAUCCUAACAUAUUUACUUAACGACUCUCUAUUCAACGCUUUUACAAGCGUCAGGGUUAUUCUUACCGACGCUUUAAAACUUUGCUAUAUUAUUAUUUAAAAUAUUGUUAAAUACAAGAUUUGUUGUCCUCAUAACUAUAAAUUCAUUAAGUAGAAUAAAUUUGAAAGUCAAAUUACUGUUAACUGACUCAACAAAUUGAAAGAUUAGGCAAUAAUGUGACAAUUUUGAAAGGUAUAACUGACUCAAAAUGGCUCAUAAUACAAAUAAAUGUUAUACAAAUUUUGAUUUUUUAUUUAUUUAUUUAUUUAUUUGCGUUGAGAGAGGACAUCACGAAAAUAUUGCCCUCAGCUCCUAAUUGGCUUAUAUCCUCAAUCUAGACCUGUGAGACCCCAAUAGUCGUACAUUGGAUAGUUAUGGCUAGAUAUGGGAGUAUAUAAACUUGAUUGGGUUAGACAUAAUAACUGAGCUUAAGUAUUUUGGGCCGGUGGUUUUGGCCCAACGAGUUAUUAUUGCUAGUUGGUUGGAUCGUUACAUUUGAUAUAAACUUGAUUGGGUUAGACAUAAUAACUGAGCUUAAGCAUUUUAGGCCGGUGGUUUUGGCCCAACGAGUUAUUAUUGCUAGUUGGUUGGGUCGUUACAUUUGGUAUCAAAGCCAGUUCACCAGCCGAAAGUGUGAGAUGAGUCUUGGCUAAGCCAGAGUCGGUGUUUGACAGGCUAAGUUAGGGUUGGAAUGACAGACUAAGUCAGAGUCGGUGUUUGAUAGGCUAAGUUAAGAUUGCAAUGACAAAGGCUAGUGAGACAAGUCUCACAUCGCCUGGUGAUCUUAAGCUGUCUGUAUGUUUAAGGCUGACGAGGACGUCAGGGACUAAACGGGAGGAGUCUGUGAGACCCCAAUAGUCGCACAUCGGAUAGUUAUGACUAGAUGUGGGAGUAUAUAAACUUGAUUAGACUAGACAUAAUAACUGGGCUUAAGCAUUUUGGACCGAUGGUUUUGGCCCAACGAGUUAUUAUUGCUAGUCGGUUGGGUCGUUACAUUUGAUAUUAGAGCGAGUUCACCAGCCGGAAGUGUGAGAUGAGUCUUGGCUGAGCCAGGGUCGGUGUUUGGUAGGCUAAGUCAGGAUCGGAACGACAGACUAAGCCAGAAUCGGUGUUUGACAAACUAAGUCAAGGUAGAAAUGACAAAAGCUAGCGAGACAAGUCUCACAUCGCCUGAUGAUCUUGAGCUGUGUGUAUGUUUAGAGCUGACGAGGACGUCAGGGCCUAAACGGGGAGAGUCUGUGAGACCCCAGUAGUCGUACAUCGGAUAGUUAUGAUUAGAUGUUGGAGUAUAUAAACUCAAUUGGGCUAGACAUAAUAACUGGGCUUAAGCAUUUUGGACCGAUUGUUUUAGUCCAACGAGUUAUUAUUGCUAGUCGGCUCGGUCGUUACAAGAUCAUUGUAUAGAUUGCGAAAAAGAUUGCCAUACCGUGAUUUAAAAGUUACACUUUGAUAUCAUUUAGUUUUAUUUGUAUUUUACCAAAAAGAAUCUAUUAUUAAAUAAAAUAGUAAAAUAAAAUAUAUUUUACAAAUUGCAAAAUAAUAAAAUAUAAAGGAUGGAAUUGUAAUAUAUUAUAUUUCAUCAUUUGGUCAUUAGCUAUAACAGUAGGUCCUCGAGUAGGGCUAUUGUACUAUUAGGAGUACAGUAGACCUUAUACUUCUAAGUUCGUAACCAGGUUAGGUUGAAAGAGAGAUGAGAAAUUGGGUGCCCAAACCAACAAACCAAAUUUUAAUCUUGUAUCUAUUAUUGUUUCAGUAUUAUUUAUACUCUAUUGGCAGCAUUAAAUAAUAAUUUGAUUGCAUAUAUUUUUCUUGAAAUUACAUUAUUGAAAUCAAACUUUUAAAAUUAUUUGGCCAUCUAUUUGCUAUUGAACCGAACCCAUCACACAUGAUUAAUCUCAUGAUUUUAAGUUUUAGCGUAUCUCAGAACUUAUGGGGGAGCUCUUUAUCUGCUUGAUAUAAAUUUUGGUAUUAUGAUUAUUCUCGUAUUUUUACCUCUUUUAAUCCUAGUGUUCAUCUUAGAAACGACUUUGGUAAAUUCUAAGGUUGGCAGAUAAAUUAUAUUGAGACAUAAAUUUAUUAAAUGGUUUUUUUUUUAAUGUUUUUUUGGAGAGAAAGGUAGCAUGCUACCCGCUUCGUUUAUUUCAUUUUAGAAAUAAACUUAGCUGAAAAUGUGAAUCAACUAGGAUUCGAACUUGGGUCUCGGGUACCAACCACCAAGCCCUUUGCCACUUGCUCUAGGGACGGUCGGUGUUAUCUCCAACUUAAUGUUACUUAUUUGAGUUGGAGAUUCUCUCCAAUUUCUUAUCUCUCUCUCACCCUAGCUAACCACCCAUCAAAAUUUAUGAAUGAUUAGAAAUUUAGAAGCACAACGAUUACUGUGCUCUUAAUAGUAUAAUAGCGCUACUCGUAAGUCCUUAGCAUGAAAAUAUAAACGAAAUAAAAGGCAAAACAGCCAAUAGUGAAAUAUAGCAUUUUAAGCUUAUAGUACGUGUGGUAAAGUUAAAAAAUGCACUAAACUACAAGAGGCAAAUUGAAAAUUUGCCCUAAAUAUAUAAAGGGCACAAGACAAGAAUAUAAUACAUAAACCCAUAAUUAAGUGGCCUUAAUCCAUAAUUAAGUUUUGAUAAUUACAACUAGUGAAGUAUUAACAAUUUACUUUUGAGUUUGCUUUUUAUGAUGUGAUUUAUUGGAAGAACUGAAAGAAGACUUAAAGCAAGGAGGAGAAAAGUUUCAACCCAAAAAGAAGCUAGUUGUUGCUUCAAAUGGUCAAAUGCACCGUACUCCUUCGAUUCUUUAGUACUUAAGUUGUAUUAUAAUCACGUAAGCUUAAGUUUGAGAGUUUUAAAUGUGAUCUAAAGUAAGUAUUUUCUCCAUCUAAGAGCACAUAUCUAUAGUUAUUAUUAUCUAUAUCUAUACCUAUACAUAAAUUCUCAUGGCUAAAUCUACAUGGGUGUACCAUCUUUAUUUGAGGGUUGUGGAAUCCACUAUUAUUUUUUAUUUUUUUAUUCUCUUCAAUUUUAGUACAACUAUUUUCUCUCGCACAACCACCUUUUCAACCCUCUUUCUCUCUCCUUUUUUUCCCUCCCAUCUCUUGUUUUUUUUUUUUUUCUCAUGAACCAACAAGGCGCCGCUCCCUCUUUCUUUACCUCACUUAUAGAGCGAUUAUGGAUCUCUCAAUGUAUAAUUUUAUGUUUUCUUUUUUCUGUCCCCUUUUUUGUCGCUCGCCGCUCAGAGCCUUCCGACCCCAUUUGUUGCUCCUCAUGCGUCCUUAACAAAGACGACUCAUGAUGCCGUCACCAGCUAUCCUAUUCUCAACAAUUAUAGGAUAUCAAUAUUCUUAUGUUCUCAUUUUUUUUUAUAAUUUUUUUUUUCAAUUAUCUACCUGUCGCAUCGCGCAGGUUAUUUCACUAGUUAUACAUUAUUCCUCCUAAAUUGCCACAAGGCAACAUUCACUUUAUUUGUUGAGCGUGAUCCACAUCGAACCGGCUCAAGUUUUCUACCUUUUUUUCCUUUUUUUGCUCGAGCCGAACCGAAUUUUUCUUUUUCUUUGCUUGAACCGAACCGAUCAUUAUUGAGUGUGGGCUCCCCCAAAGCAGCUCAAUUCUUCCACGUGUUUUUCUCUUUCUCUGCAUGAACCGAAUUUAAUUUUUCUCUUUCUUUACUUGAACUGAAUCGGGUCAACUUGUUGCAUUGGGCCAAACUGGCCCAGCUACUCCACAUGUUUCCAUCUUCGAAUCGAAUUUUUUCUUUCUUUCUUUGCUUGAACCAAACCGAUCACUAUCGAGUGUGGAUUCUACCCGGAACCGGUUCAAGUUUUCCUUUUUUUUUUUGCUUAAAUUGAGCUGAAUUUUCCUUUUUUGCUUGAACAGAACCAAGUCACAUCUCUAUAGUGGGCUACUAGAGAACGGUGUUUUUAUAUUUUAUAUUCAAUAAUUAAAUAAGAUUAGGGGCUUAAUAGAAUUCGAAGACAGAAUCUCCUUUUCUAAUACGAUGGGAAAUAAUGUGAAACGAUUAUUGUUCUCUAACAUAGCGUUUGGUUCGGGUAUAAGCAAAAAAUAACUAUUACACGGACAGGUACAAGUAUGGGGAUAAGAAAAAUAGCGUUUGGAUGAAAAUUAGAUUGUUCCCGGGGAUAAGAAAAAUAGCGUUUGAAUAGAUAAUAUGGAAUAAGAAAAAUAGUAUGUAGUUUUAUAUAGAAAUGGAGGUGUUGGUGGGAAUAGUUAUACCCGGUUAUCAUAGAUAACCGAGAACUACUAUUCUCGGGUAAAAAAUUACCGUUUGGGUAUAAAGGGGGAUAAGGGGUUAUCCUCCCUAUCCCUAUCCCCUAACCAAACACUGCCCAGGAUAAAGAUAAAGUUGUUAUUUUCAAAAUAUUUUGUUCUUAUUUUCUUGUAAUUCAGAAGGUUAUAAAUAGGGUCGGGCUCUUUUAAAGUCACUCCAGUUUAGAGAGAAUUAAUAUACAGACUCUUCCACAUAAUAAAAUAUUGUAUUCUUUUUUUUUCUCUUUAAUCUGAUUUCAGAUAACCAUGGAAGAGGCGCUGCAACAUUUGCUUCCUUCUCCGUCGGAUCAGUUUGAUAGCCUUCUCCAACGAUCAAUGUUCUCUUUCACCUUUUCUUUUAGAAUUAUCCAACUAAUUAUUGUUUCUGUUUUUUUUUUUCAGCAAUAACCUUUUUCAACUGCAUAUCAUGCAAGGCUUUCUAUUUUACUUCUAAGUAUUGAUUUGUAAAGAAUAAUGAUUUCGACAUUUUUUGCUUUUUCCAGCUACAAAUCAUGUAAUUUUCUAUUUCUUCUACUUCUAAAUUAUUAUAGAUUGGUAAAGAAUAAUAAUUUUUUUUUAUUUUCCUUCUGUGUGUUAUAUAAUAAUAUAAUUAAACUAUAAAAACAUUCUCAUAAAAGAAAUUCCACGAAAUACCACCAAAUUUUUCUUAGAAAUCCCCUACAACUUUCUGCUUAUGCAAAAAAACUUCAUAUUAGAACCCCACCUAUAGAAAUUUUGAAAAUUCAUUUCACUCUCUGCGGUAGCAAAAAGCUCCAUCCUUUUUGCAUAUUAAGCAUCGCAAAAAAGUCCAACCACAAAAGUACAUAAAAUAAUUUGGAGUUCUAGAAACUACAAAACUUCAGGCACAAUAUGCAGAAGAACACAAGUAAGAAUCUGCACCAAAGGUUGACCUACAAUACUUCUAGAAAUAUCAAACUCGUAAGUUACUUCGUGUUGUUUCUAAUGAUAGGGCAUCCAAAUCAAUGAUCGACACUUUUAAAUUCGAUCUACAGUAAUUUGAAUUUUUUGAAACUAAAAUAUUAUCAUUUUAUGAUACCUUUUAUCUGGUGAUCAACUGAUGACCCCAAAGAUACCUUAUAUUUGUGAUUGGAGAUUGUUAGUUUAAAAAACACUUGAACAAUAGAUUACUAUUAGGGUGCGUUUGGUUCGCAUUAUGAAAGAUUACUAGGAAUAAAAGAUAUCCGAGAAUCUUAUUCCUAUUCAUUCUAUUACUAAAAAUGUGGAAUUCCUGUGUUUGGUUCGUACGGUAAUAUUAAUUAGUCAUGUUAUUUAAUAUUACAAAAAAUAUACAAUUAAUUUAUUUAUUUAUUUAUUUAAUUUUAGAUAAUGUUACCAAAAGUUUCAAUAUCUUUUUAGAAAAAAGGAAGAGAGAGUAUAAGUAAGAGAGAGAGAGCAUAAUUAAAAAAAUAGAAAGAAAAAUAUAGUCGAAAUUAGAGGGAGUGAGAGAGUUGAAAUUUUAGAAAGAGAGAGAGAGAAAGCUUAGUUUAGAGAGAGAAAAAAAAAUUGAAUUUUAGAGAGAAAAAUAAGUUUAGAGAGAGAUAUAAAGGUUAGAGUGUAAAGAAAAAUAAUAUCAAUUAGCCAGCGGGUAGGAAGAAAGAAAGAGAUUAAACAUAUUAUGAUUAUCCCAAUUCAUUAAUAUGAAGAUACCCACCCUCCCUCGAGAGAAUGAGAUUAGUACUUUGGGGUGAAUCUUAUUCCCAAGUGAAUCCAAUAUUACCAACUGGAUUACUUAGUGCGUUUAGCCAAACACCGUCAUAUUUUUUUAUUCCCAUUGGAUUACUAGGAAUCUUUAAAAGAUAGCGCGAACCAAACGCACCCUUAUAGAAAUAUCAUGAAUUUUGGCCCAUAUGAAGUUCCAUGUGCAGUAAAUAUGUUUAACGAUGUCGAUUGUUAAUUCAGAUACCCUAUCAUCAGAAAACGACGUCAGAUUAUCAAGUACUUGAUACUUCUAAAAGUAUUCUAGCUCAACUCAGAUAGUAUUCACCCCCCAGAUUUAUCCUGAUACAGUAAAAUCCACACCACCACGAUUAACCCAAAUAU